AGAAGGAUGCACAAUCUUGAAAUUCUCAUUCUCAACAACGUCAACGUCGAGGGAAGCUACGAAGAAUUUUCAAAAAGUUUAAUAUGUUUAUCUUGGAGAGGAUUCCACUUAAAAUCAAUACCAGAAAAUUUUUAUUUGGAAAACCUGGUUGUUCUUGACAUGCGAAAUAGUAGCCUACAACAUGUUUGGAAUGGGAUCAGGGUACGUAACCCUCUCUCUCUCUCUCAUUCUUUCUCUCACACAUGUCCAUUAUAUCUUCUUAGAAAUUGAUUAAUACUUGUUAUUGAAACAGUUUCUUCCGAGGCUGAAAAUUCUUAAUCUCAGUCAUUCGCAUGGCCUUAGGACAACCUCCGACUUCUCAGGACUCCCUAACCUUGAGAGAUUGAUUCUUAAAGAUUGCAUAAAUUUGGUUGAGGUUGAUGAGUCCAUCGGAUACCUAGAGAAACUUGUUGUUUUGAAUCUAGAAGGCUGCAAAAAUCUCAUGAAGCUUCCAAAAUUGAGAUCUAUUCAGGAUCUUAUUCUUUCUGGUUGCUCAAAGCUUGUGCUUGGUGCCAAUACGACUGCCACAACUGGUCACUUACAAUCUACAGCUUGUGAAAUGAAGAAACUCAAUCUGCUAUCAGCUAAAUCAUGGUAUUCAAUCUGGUCGCAGGUGUCGCCAAGAAAAAAUAUUGAACCAAGCAGUUUCUCAUUGGCAAGUUUACCACAUUCCUUGACAAGUUUACGUCUGGAUAGCUGCAAUCUAUCAGAGAUUCCGAGUGCCCUUACUAUGCUGUCUUCGUUAGAGUACUUGGAUCUGUAUAACAAUCCAAUUACAAGCCUACCAGAGAGCAUGAACAAUCUUGUUAGGCUUCACACUCUUGCAGUAGAAGGUUGCAGAAACCUCACAAUGCUUCCAGAGCUCCCACAUAGUUUGAAACAAUUGAAUGGUAGAGGUUGCACAUCAUUGAAAAGAAUAACAAAUUUACCGAACUUGCACAUAUCACCUACCGUAUAUCCCUUCGGCAUGCAAAAGGACUUAGAUUUAAUGCAUUACAAUAUAGUAUUGGACUCAAAUUUAUGGUAUUGUGGGAAACUAGUUGAUGUUGCAAGCUUGUUCAAUACACUACCAUUGAGCAGCUUUGACAUAAAACUCCUCAAAGAUAUGGAUCUAUUCGAUUUGAAACCCAACGGUGGCGUAGAGGUCCAAAGGAACAACGAUUGUGCAAGUUUUAGCAAGCCAAGGCGCUCCAAGGUUCUCUCUCUCUCUCUCUCUCUCUCUCUGCUAUGUACAAGUGCUUAUAAUAUGAUCUCUAUGGCGUAAACAAUUAGAUUGUAAUCGCAGGGAACUUUUGAAUGCGGCAUAAUUAGCAUUUUUGUGCACGAGAGCAAGAUUCCAGAUCGGUUCAAUUACAGGUGGAUGCCUCCAGAUCGGUUCGAUUACAGGAGCAUGGGUAACACUGUGUUCUCUAUUAUUGUUCCUUCACAGCCUAAUAUCAAGAUCGUAGGUUUAAAUGCAUGUAUACUGUAUGCCCGGCAAUCGGAUCGAAGCCCUGUGAUUCCAUUUGGGAUUCCAUUUGGAAACUCUCAUGCCCAUUCGCUUGAACUUAGGAAUGAGACAAAGGGCCUUAAGUGGAACUUAAGAAUGUCGACUGGGGUUGAAUGGAAAGUGAUGAACGAAGAUAUGUUAUGGCUAAGCCAUUGGAUUAUGGGGAACAAUGAAUUGGAGUGCGGGGAAAAAGUGUAUUUUAGACUAACCGAAGAUCAUGACGAUUUAUUCACAAAGGGGAUUGGAGUCCAGUUUGGGUACGAGCAGCAAAAUAAGGAUAAGGAGGAUGUCCCAUCAAGUAGUGAAGAUCCAAUGAUCCUACCUGACAGAUCGCCUUGGGACGGCGGUCACGCUUCCAGCUGGGUAACGGAUUCAUGUCAGAGAUUUAUCGGGCCGAAAUGGAUCGAGAACCUUAAGAAGGAAUCUAUUUCAACUGUCGUGUGCGCGGCUAAUUACUCUCUCUGUAACCAUGAAGUGAUCGACCUUGAGAACGAGUCCCGCAUGACGCCAUGGUAACGAGUGCUCUAAACUAUUACCCAGGUUAAUUCAAAUUGAUGGUGAUGAUGCACAAAUCACUAAAUUCAAAUGUGUAUUGGUUGUUAAGCUUCGUUUCUAUCCAUUUUCAAUUUUCCCUAAAAAAUUGUUUUCAAUAAAACCUGUUUUGAAGAAAAAUAAAGUUUCAGAGCCCAACUAGAAAAUAAGCCCACGAGUUGUGGUGUGAACUAACUGUUUCAGGCGUAACUGCAUGAAUAAGACACAUUUCACACGUAACUGAAUAAAUAAGACACAAAGUGCAAGAAGUAAAGCUCAUAUUUAGCAGUGUUAUUUUAACAACAAUUGUUCAAGUGGUGGAUUGCCCCGGUGGGUAGGGCAUUUCUCUUAGUCCUACUGCAUUCCGGGUUCAAAGUUCCAACCAUCCCCCGUACCAGUUUAAGCACACCAAAGACCAAAUUUAGCAUGUUCUGUCGUCAUCCACCCAACCCAGCAGAUAUACAAAAUUCAAAUAGAACUUGGCAAAUUCAUCCUCUUAAAAUACAAAACGAAAAUAAUUUAUGAUCACUGACCUCUGAGAAUCGAAUGAUAUUCGGAUUCUUCAAUGAUCUGUGGUUCAUGAUUUCCCCUUGAACAUGUUCAUCCAUCUGCAUCACCAAAAAAAAAAAAUAUUUAAAAAAAAUACAAAAUGAAAAUAGUUUAUGAUCACUAACCUCUUUGGAUCGAAUGAUAUUCGGAUGGUCCAGUGAUCUAUGGUUCAUGAUUUCCCAUUGAACAUGUUCAUCUAUCUGCAUCACCAAAAAAUUAAUAAAUAUUUUAAAAAAAAUACAAAAUUUAAAGGAUAAGAAUUGCGAAGAUUCUUAGGUCUUAGUUCGAAAUGUAAUAGCUCAUCUCACCUCCAUAUAUUACCAAAUCUUAGUCUAUAUGAUUUUGCCAGAGCCACCGAAUGUUGAUAUAUAUCUGUUGCAUGUUCUACUACCAUCAACAUUAUAAAGGUUUCUAAUUGAAUCAUAUAUUUAAAAUCCAAGCAUGAAAGUUUUACAAAGAUAAAUAAACAAAUGUAAAUAACUAAUUAGGCAAUACACAGCAGAGAGGGGAGAGAGAGAGAGAGAGAGCAAUUGAAGGGAAUGCAUAGUUAUCUCUAUCUUCGGAAAAAAAAAAAGAAAAAAAGAGAGCAGUUGAAGGAGUGAGAAGCAAAGCAGCAUACCAAGUGGAGAGUAAGCAAUUAAGCAUAGUCAUCUCACGUACGGAUUGCCUGAGAACUGAUCUUUGCUUCUCUUCCUUAUGAUCCUCUUAAAUGCAAUUCUACACAUUUCUAAACCAAAAUUGCAAAGCAGAAUUCAAAGAAAUUUAAAGAAACCUAGUAAAGAUUCAAACUUUUUUAUUAUCCAAAAGAUGUACAUAACCCCAUGUAACAAAAACAAAUUUAUGACACAAAAGAAAUUAUCUUUAGCCACAAAAAGCAAAAAAGAGAAAGAGAGAGAUUUUGCUUUUUGCACUAUGCAGAAUGUGCAGAGAAUCAAAAUAUCAUAACCCAUUUAACAACAUGAUAUUUUAGGCAAAAAGGCAUCACCUUUAGACCCCAAAUGAAAGAAUUUGAGAGAGAGCGCAUACGUGGUUUCCAAGAAGAGGAAGAGAGCAAUUCUAUUUCCUGUAAAAACGAAGAAACAGAGCAUUAACAAACACACAUGCACAAAUCUCAAAAGGAAAUUGGUAAGAAAUAAUCGUAAUUGAGAAAAUAAUUAGAAAACUAGAGAGGACACAAUUGGAGUCUAAUUCUACAGAACCCACGAGUCAAGACAAACAAAUAUCCAAAAUUAACAGAUUACAGUAACAACAUUCCAACAAAAGUAAGAAGACCAGAAAAAUUAUCUAUUCUAAAGUACAUUAGUUCCAUCAUGCAUAAAUCAAGGGAGUCACGGAAGGCCAGUAUCUUAAGGUAAUCCAACAUGUUAAAGCAUCCAAACAGAGACUCAGAAUUACAAAACGCAUGAAAAUUCACAUUCCAACGUGUUAUGCAAUCACCAAUUUCAGAUCAACCAAAACCAAAUAAAUUUAUAUCAGUACGCAUCAAACCCACCAAACCCAAAAUCAAAAGAAGGUGAUCAAAUGUUUGAUUUUGCUAAAUAUUACAAAAUAAAAUAAAUAAGAAUAUGUACAAAUCAACAUGCAUACCUUGUAGCGGUGCAGGGAACAGUAGCGUGAGCUGCAUCGAGGGCAUGUGUACUGGGAAAAUUGCUACUGGCAGCUGCAACUAACAAAAACAAAAACAAAACAAAAUUGAAUAAAAUCAAAAUUGGAAAAAUUUCCAGAAAAUAAAUAAAACAAAUUAUCAAGCUUUGUUGAUGAAAGAGAGGUGGGGUUGGUGAAGAACAUACAUGCGGCUAUGAGCAGUAGAUAAAAGAUUUCAAAAUGAUUUCUUCACUUUUCAAUCAGGACAUGCACGAAUAUAAAAAUGGCAGAGAGGAUUAAAACCAUACCAAACACUAGAAAAUCAAGUAUAAAAAUCGUACUUACCUUGUGAAUGAGGACAUGCAGACACAUGAUGGAUGAAGGACAGCAAAUCCCGCAUACACGAACCUAACUUGCCAUUGUUCGCCACCCCCACCCCUCCCUAUCUCUCUCUCCCUGCAAUCCCAACGAUUUCUCUCACUGUCAUCCUCCCACUCCCGAAUCGAAUAUCCGCACGAAAUCUCUCUCUCUCUCUCUCUCACUCGGUUUCUCUCACUGUCACCCUCCCACUCCCGAAUCAAAGAUCCGCACGAAAUCUCUCUCCCUCUACAAGCAGCAUGGCCGCUGUCCCUCUCUGUCUGCCCUCACCAUCAAUCCCAAUCCCAAAAUUAAGAUGACAAAAGUGCCCUGCAACCCUUUAAUUCUAGCCGCGUGAUCCUAACCCUAGAUGAAUAUUUCUGGAAUUUGAACACCCAAAGUAUCUCAUCAAAUGUGGAUGUACCUGUCAUAGUAUGAAUCUGAGAAUUUCUCAAUUCAACUCUCGAAUUUACUGUGACAGUAAUAAUAUAUCAUGUGGAAAGAGGUGGGAUUAUGGUAAAAGAUAGAACUUUAGCUGAUGGUAAACAACAUUUGGGAAUUUGAUGUAAGCCGGCUGGGAAUCCCAAAUGUUGUUUACCAUAAGUUAAAAUCUAAUCUCUGAUUAAAAAAAUAAUAAUAAAAAGCACACCUCAAACUGAUAAGGACCAUAAUUUUCAAGGGACACUGCUUUUCAAUGGUUACCAUAAAAAAAAAUAAUGAAAGAACUGAUCAUUUGAAUUAUUCAUGACAGAACCAAUUUUGAUUUGAAAUAUGAUGGCCAAGAACAAAUCACACUGCUUUUCAAUGGUUACCAUAAAUUUUCAGAAGUUACAGAAGAUUUUUUAUCAAUUGAAAAGACAAUGGUCACAUAUAUCUACAAUUAACCACCAGUAAGCGUGAAAUACUACAUCACAAUGCAAUAGCAGCUAUACAGGAUGUCAUGCCAUUCAUACUAUGACAAAUCACAAAAGUGACAAUUAAAGGGCACCUAACAGACACCCCCAUCUCUCUCUCUCUCUGCAAUAGCAGAAAUCCCUCGGGUUUCAGGAAGCAAAUGGAAAACAAAAUGCUUUUACAUCCCCUACCCAUACCCAUACCCCUCCCUUACCCAUUCCCUUUACCCUUGCAGAAAAUCCUCCCAUCUCUCUCUCACCCUUGUCCCAUCUCUCUGUCUGCAAAUCGCAGAAAAGAAACCCUGAACAAAUCACUGAAAUCCCUCGCCUAAAUCCUCCCACAUUUCUCUCAGACACCCUCUAUCUCUCUCUCUCUUUGCAAACCCUAAACCAAAUCUCCUAAAUUCUAUCUCGGACACCCCACAUACAGCCAAGAAGCCAAGAUAUUAAAGCAAUCUCUACAUAAUACUUUGGAACAAUGAAGCAAAAUGGUACUUACUUGUUCCUUGUCCAAAACCGUUGGUGCCGCCGCACAUUGUUAUUAAUUGUGGGUUGAUCAAAUCCUUCAUGGCUUAGACUGCAUGAAGAAUUAGAAACUAAAAGAUGAAUAUAUGCUGUAAAUCAUCAUAUAAAUGUAACUGCAUUUAAAAAAAGAAGGGAAUGAAAAAUUGAAUUCUAUUUCAUCAGUAUGUAACUGCAUGAAAAGUUACAUUGAAUGCAGACUCAAUCAAUUUCCCCAAAGUCAUUGUUAACUGAAAAUCAAUAUCAAACCCAUAAAUACCACCAUUGAAUUUGCGAAACCCAAAAACAAAAUACAAAAAUUUACUCAUAUAAUCACAGAAAAACAUGAAAUUUGAGCACAUAUUUGGCAAAGUUAAAGGAUAAAGGCACUCACAUCAUCGUAGUACUCUUCGGGAAGAACUUCUAAUAAUGGUUCUUCCUUUUUCUUGCUCUUCCUCAGAGCUGCCAUAAAAAAACCCAGAGAAGCACACAAAUUCAGAAAAGAAAAGGUCCAAAACAGCCAUAAAAAAUCCAGAAAGCAUACAAAUUUAUCAGAACAAAAACCAAAUGAUGUGAGAUAGUGAGAGGUUGUGUUAGGCACCCGUAACACGUUUUGGUUUCAAUUAAAACGGCCAGAGCGUUGCAUGCGAGGAAGAUGACGAUAGGAUUCCAAACACAACAUCCACAUUCUUUUUUCUUGGGUGAACUAACCAAAUCAUAUUAUAUACUAAAAUGACAUAAAAAAUCAUUCACAAAAUCACAACAAAAUAGAACAAAAACAUUCACAAAAGAAUUCCCCAAGUUUUCAAAUGGAAAUUAAACAUUUACAUAGCUUAUAUAAAAAGCCGAAAUAUAAAAAUUAAUCAAAAGGUUGAGAUAACUCACAUCCCAGUAAUGCUUAUUGCUGAUAUUAACACCCACUGACAGCAGCCCUCGGUUUGUGGAAUUCCCACGCCCAACUCCAUGACCUCUGUCUCUGCCAUCCCUCUUUCCCUCACAACCAUACCCACUUUCGACCCACCCCUCAAUCCCGACACCAACCCUUGAUUUAAGGAGGAAAAAUCAAUCCAACCACCCUUUUCGCAAGCCUCACUCCUCCCUCUCCCUUCCCCUCCCUGCCAAUCCCAUGCCCAUCUCCCUCGUUGUAGCUCAGCAACCCACGUUUUUUGGCACCAAACACUAUGUCCUAGGAUGAUGUGACAAUUUAUCAAAGUCAGAAAAUGCAUUAUCUCAGUUUAGGUUGGUAGCAUAUAUGAUCCCUGUGCAGCAACAUAGAAUACUUAGUAAAAGUUGCAUUUCUGAGAACAAAUAACCAAUGCUUGACCGAAAAAACAAUGCAGAUGCUUUAGUAUACAGAAUUACAGUUUUAUUCAAGCUUCUCAGUCACAAACUAACCUUCCUUUGUCGAGCAGCAAGGAGGAGGGGGAGAAAAUUGAUUCCUGGAGGAGCUUUUUCGUUCAAAACUAAGUCAAGCUGCAAGGACGAAGGGUCGAGGAUUGUUCGUGAGCUGGUGUUGCGGAUAUAAACAUAUAGAAAGCUCCACUGUGUCAUAACAAACACAAAUUGAAUAUGAUCACCAUGUCACAUUAAUUACCUAAAAUUCAAAAUGUUAUAUACAUUAGUAUGUUGAAAAAAUUAGUUACAUUUCAUUAAACUAAAAAAUUUACAGAAUAUGAGAAAUAAAGAAUUUGUAUUGUUUAUAUAAAAAUAGAAUAACAAAGAACAUCAUUGACUACCAUUUUAUUCGGUAGUUUCCUCCAACUGCAAUUGUUGAGAUUGUAGGAGAUCUUCGAAUAAAGCCUUCAAUUCAACCAUCCGUACACAAACAUAAUAGACAAUGUUUUUUAGCGAAUUAUGGACAAAGCUUAAUAUUCAAAUGCAAUGAAGUGGAAAACACAAUCCAAUAUAUGGAUAUGCAUGCUAUAGGAAACCAUUCAUUUGUAGAUGGUAUUGUGUCACCAAUAUUGUAUUUAAAAAUCUACCCAAGAUAAAGAUGCAAUAUAUAGUUUGGUAAAAAAUCAAAACGAAGAGUUAACAAAGGAAAAGGAUUAAGACGUUGAAAAUACAAAACUGGAUUCUUUUAUUUGGUAAAGACGGUUCCCCCACUGGCUGUCUGAAACCACAAACACUUUUUACAUAGAAACUUUAUAAACUAAUAGAUUAAAAUAAAUCUAAGUGUUAUAAAUGAAAAAUCCUGGGAUUGAUAGUAAUGGCAUCAACAGUGCCACCACAUCCCAAAUAAAUGAAUGAAAAUAUAGUGAUUAACAUCCAACAAAGAAGCUCAAGCUUGAAAUAAACCAAGGCAUAAAAGCUUACCAAACUUUUCAAAUGGCUAAAUUGUUCAUUUAACAUGAUAACUUCUUCCUGCAAUCCAUAAGUAAGACCAUUAGAUGCGGUAAACAAAACAUCAUACUUCAUAUAUGGCAAUCUAGCAGAGAAACCAAUUGCAUUCAGAUGGAGCCUAAUUUGUGGAACUACAUUUAUAUGCACUGAAAUGCAUUAUCAUGUUGUCAUAUUUAAAAACUGAGGUUUAUGCAGUAUGCUAUCUUUAGCAUACACAAAAUUUUUGCCCCUCAUUUUUGAAGUUCCGCACUUCAUAAUUUAUAUACUUUCAGUUUCCCUUCUAAUGAAGGUAUGGACUGCUUUCCAUUUGGAAUUUUCGUAAGACAAUGUUAUGAUAUUCCUAAUUUAGAAUGUGUUUCCACUCUAAUGAAUGCAAGCCCUAAAUCAUAAAUAUUGUACAAUUAUGUGUUUGAGCACGUGGCAGGGCAUGAGAAUCAGAACCACUCCGUGUUGUUCUCCGCUUCGUGAUUUGGUCAUCAAACAAUACUUCAUUCCCUCCAUCCUUUAUCACGUCUUCUUGGUGAUCAUUUGUCCAUCUCCAAACUGUAUCCACAAAAAACUACAAAUUAAUCCCAAAAACAAUCAUACAAAAAAAUUGCGGAUUAGAUUUGAUUACGUACCAUUUUCCCAGGAUGUAGAGCUCAGUGAUGAUGCCCUCCUCGCUUUGCACCUUAAACAUCGACAUUUUAAACCAGAAACCAAAAUCAAACAAACAUAAAGAAAUACGACUGACAGAAUCACACUGUAAGACACCACUCCCUCGCUUCCACGGUUCCAACCACAACACCAAAAACAACAAUAACAAUAAUAACAAUGUACACUCAGACAAAACAAAAAUGCACCACAGCCCUCCAGUGCUAUAACAGCACUUCUCUUCUAGGACAACUUUGAUAUCUAUGGACUGUUCCCUUCUCCAUGUUACAACGAUAGUAUUAGAGCUCUUACAACAUCACAGAUGCAUGACCAAGAGUGUAUUCGACAACCUUUUCUCUGAUCCUUUUCAUCAGUUGGUCCUAAAGAUUGUAUUCUUCUAAAUUCAUCUUCUUUUUGGGUAUCCAGAGACAUUUAUCACUUCAUAUGCCGAACACAAAACACCUAACAUUUUGGGUGACAAAUUAGAAGCAACUAAUCGGAAUAUGGGUACUGAGAAUUGAAUUACUCUUUGUUCUUAUAGUCCUAAUGGAAAUUACUCGUUGAUUCACAAAAUUAAUCAAACUAAAAUGCAAGAAAAGCAAAAUCAACAACCCAUACAGAAUUAUGAAAAGAUCCCAACAAACCAACCAAACAAUUAACAUUUAAAAAAAAAAAUUGCAAAGUUGGAGGGAAAGAAGCACGAGAAAAAAUAUACACAUCCAAUGCUUUUAAUCUAAAGCUAGAAGUAGGAAUAACUGAGUAAGUUAAUGAAGGCAAAGCAGAGGGUAGGAAGCAGAACAUACCAAGAGACCAAUAGGGCAUCCGGGCCGGUCUGCCGAUGAACGCCGUGUCCUGGUCGACAACGCCCAACGGCGUCGGCCCUGCAAAGAAGUAAAAGUCGAAAACACUCCCAAUGACCUUGUAGGUGAGAGAAGUCCCUCUGUAGAACACAUCCAUGCCAUUGCUGUUGAUCAGCAUAACAGAGUGCGCGUAAGCCUCGUUGCCCACAUUCUGGAGAUCCAUGUAAAACCGGGUGGGACCCGUACAAAUCAGUGUUGAGAUUGAUCGCCGAGACUUCAGUGGUGAAGAGGGUGUGUGGAUCGUUCGGGUAGAGCUUGAUCCCGUGCGGCUGAGUGUUCUCUCCGAGGCCGUACAGGGAGGCGUCUUUCGGCGGUCGGGUGGAUAUCUCGAGGUACUGGUCCUUAAACACCAGUUCGCCAUAUGGGUCUUUGGAGUAGGAGCUCAAAUGAAGAGGACCUGCCCGUUGGACUUCCUCUUGAAGGCGAACCCAAAUGGGUCGGAGAUGAAGCUGAGAAUGAGCUCAGAGCCGGAGUAGUCUGAGACUUCGAUGGGGUUCUUCGUCUUCGCCUGAAACACGUUUUGGUUUCAAUUGAAAAGGCCAGAGCCUUGCAUGCGAGGAAGAUGACGAUAGGAUUCCAGAGAUAGAGAAAGAAGGAGUAAGACGACGGAGGCGAGAGAAGGAAGACGGCGGCAAGAGGAGGAUAGGACGGAGGCGAGACCAUCUGUAUCGUAGGUCUGUGAGACGUACAAGGCAAGGAGGGUUUGAGAAGGAAACGGAAAAGGCCUGCUUUACCAUUGCUAUUCCCUUCCCGCGAUCAUCAAGGCGUGCGCAACAAGAUCAGCGGCAGAGAGAGUCUGUGGCAAAUUUGUAUAUAAAUUGAAAUUCAUCCCAAAACAUUGUUCAUUUGAAUAAUGCAAUUGGAAUCCCUUCUUUAGACAAAAGUAAUUUUUAAGUAGAAUGCCAACUUAGAUUUUGAGGAAAACUAAUGAAAAUGACUUGAAAACUUUGAGUUUUAAUGAUAAGGACAAAAUAAAUGGUAAAGUGAAUAGUAUCAUAAUUGACUUUUUAGUGUAAAAAUAUGAUUUUUCGUUAAAAUGAAUAUUACCGCGGGUUUUUCAUUAAAACUCCCUAGAUUUUAUGCAAACCAAAACCUUACCAUUAUUCAUACUUGCCAGAAGGCCUCAGAAGUCUCCACUAAAAUGCUUCCCUAAGCACAAGUACAUAAUAAUGCCACUGACAACUAGCUCGUCGAUCACCUCAGCGCUGCGGUUAAUGCUUUCGGCGCCACUUUUACAUUUCACUCUUAGUAAGAUGAGAUGAAGACGGGUUCUCAGAAGAUCCAAUUCCGGUAUCUCAAUUCAAUUGCGCAAUUGUUCCUCGUUGUAACUCGAUCUUGAGUAUUGUACAACCAUCAUAUUGCCAACAGCCUUUGAGUCCCGACUACAAGCAGAAGCAUUUACCAAGUUGUCACAAGGCCCGUCAAUACUGGCAGUGUCAUCAGCGGAGGAUGAGUGAUUAAUCGUGCUUCUGUUCUUGUUUUCAGUUUCCAUUCUAUCAUUUUCUGUAAUGACACCUAGAGUUUCAGCCGCUUCAACCACUUGCGAUUCAACAGAUGUCUUGCAAAUAACAGCGGGAUCAAUAUCAUGGCUGUGGUAAUCAUCAGGAUGAGUUACUUUGCAUUGCUCUACAAACUCCAUUGUUGAGGAAAGGAUAUUCAUGUCCUUGUCCAUCGUAUUUUCUUGGCUAUUUCUAUUUAAGAUGUCAUCCUCAAAUCCGGUUGGAUUAGUGCGAGCAUCAUCUGCAGGAGACAGGUCUUCAUCUAUCUGUUAAACAAUGACCUGUGUUUGCUUUCAGAGAAGACACUGCUAGACACAACCUCGUCAACAGAAUGCAACCCUAGUGGGGAAAUGCAGAUGAAAGAGGGAUCAACUUUUCAUCGCCAGUAAUUUCUUCUCCAUAACUCUCAUUACAUACGCCAUUUCCACGUGCUACCACAUUACUCGGUUAGGUAGCCACUACCUUUGGUUCUCUCAGCAGCUACAUCUCCAUUACCACAGUUAUUCGCAUUUGGAGAUAAUACUUCCUCAUUUAUUGGAUCCUCAUUUACUAAUCCUUGAUCUCGAUUGGCAAAAGAUGCCACAUUUAUAGUGGUAUCAUUGCUUUCCAAAUUAACUAGUCCACUUAAUUGCUUCUGUACAAAGACUGCUAAAGAAACAGCAUGAUCACGAAUCAAAGAAUCAUGAGACGGGUAGUGUAGCAUAUCGAUCAAGGCCUUAUGGUACUGUGUGGCAGAUAUUAAUAACUUUGAGUAUAUGUUCACACAGGUUGCCCAUUUCUGCCCAAUGGCAGUUGCAAAUACCAAACUCGUCAAUAACUUUUGCACGAGUACCUUCUAUGAUAAUAUUGCAGUUAAGAAUCUUCAAAGCUUUACGCCAAGAUGUUAAACCACUCGCCCACUCAUCUUUCCAAUAUUGUGCAAAAUCAUCAUUCUCAGAAUAUUCAUCAAGCCAGAAGAAGGAAUGCACUUUUGUACCCAGCUUAUUAACCAACCAAUCAACUCGUUUUUACACUCUAGGUUUAUUCUCGUUCAAUAACCUAAGCUUUAGUGGCUGUGCUAGAACUCCAUUGCCGCAGAGGUUUCCUAGCUAGCAAGAGGAAGAGUUUGUAGUGCAGAUACCCACAUCCCUGAGUCAAAAGACAUUUUUCUUGUGCGAGUUAUUCAAGAUAAAGCAAAAGAAAAUUAAGGACCCUGUUUAAAGAGAAGGGGGUGAAGGAAUUAAACGACACACUUGUUACUUCGUAUCAUAAGGCAAAAUAUACCUCUACUAAAGAUGAUAGUAACUUAGCUAAUUCUAGGAUACUAAGUUGCCUUAAAGUAAUCUAUAAAAUCUUAUUCAUCAAGAAAAUCUUCUAUGAAGUCCUCAGACAAACGCUCGGCUCCUCGUUGUUGACAGAUGUUAUCCACUGCUUGACGAAGCCUUCUUGACAUUGUAGCUCGCAUCUCAUUGUCCACACAUUUCUUUACUAAGUUUGUAUGCCAUGCAUGAGGAACCCGCCAAAAGCUUAUCAACACUGAACACUGAAAUACAUCCCUGAGUAUAAUGAAAUAAAACUGUCAGUAUCAAGUUUGGGCGAGGACUGAGCAACCAACAGGAUGGUGAGCACAUCAGCUAGAGGAUCAUCCACUAUGAAACUAGCCAACUUCCAAACAGGAUCUUUCGUUUCAAUUCUAUUGUGAAGAGCUCUCAUCCAUUUAUGGGCAUUGGAACUUCCAAACUUUGGAGCCACUAUCCACGCCACCGGGAUAGUAAUAAUGUUGCAUGUCACAUCCCGGCCCGGGACAGAUCACUUCCCGGGCCCACUCCACCACCAUAGCACGAUAUUGUCCGCUUUGGGCUUACCAUUCCCUCACGGUUUUGUUUUUGGGAACUCACGAGCAACUUCCCAGUGGGUCACUCAUCCUAGGAGUGCUCUGGCCUCCUUCUCGUUUAACUUCGGAGUUCCUAUGGAACCCGAAGCCAGUGAGUUCCCAAAAGGAGUGAGUUCUCAAAAGGCCUCGUGCUAGGUAGAGAUGGGAAUAUACAUUUAAGGAUCACUCCCCUGGGCGAUGUGGGAUGUCACAAUCCACCCCCCUUAGGGGCCCGACGUCCUCGUCGGCACACCACGGCCAGGGUUAGGCUCUGAUACCAAUUUGUCACAUCCCGGCCCGGGGCGGAUCACUUCCCGGGCCCGCUCCACCACCAUAGCACGAUAUUGUCCUCUUUGGGCUUACCAUUCCCUCACGGUUUUGUUUUUGGAAACUCACGAGCAACUUCCCAGUGGGUCUAUCCUAGGAGUGCUCUGGCCUCCUUCUCGCUUAACUUCGGAGUUCCUAUAGAACCCGAAGCCAGUGAGUUCCCAAAAGGCCUCGUGCUAGGGUAGAGAUGAGAAUAUACAUUUAAGGAUCACUCCCCUGGACGAUAUGGGAUGUCACAUUGCAACAUGAACAUAUUCGGUUUCUCAUUAUUAUUAACAAUUGUAGUUAAUAAUAAAAGGUUAAACAAACUAAACGGACCUUCAAUUUGGUUGUUCCGAACCUUGAAUCAGAAAGCUAUAAGGCUGUGAUUGCCGAAGCAAAUCAUCUGUUGCAACUGCCACUCUGUUUGAAUGCCCAAAGUGAAAGGGUCCACAUAAGAGAAAUCCUAAUAGAAGAAAACAUGACUCUGAUGGUUUUCUACCCACAUGCUAAUGCUAACCGCAUCAUCAGCAUCCAAUUCAUAUAUAGAGCAUCGAAUGACCCUCUCCUGCCUCGAACAUACCUAUAGGUUAAAAGGUCAUCACGGUUAGAUGGACCACCCUGUUUCUCUACAGAUUCAUCGUGUCUCUGCAUUAUAGUCUCCACAGAGACCCCCGCAUAUAACAAAGAUUGUACACGAAGAAGCAGAUCCUCAGAGAUACAAGGGGCAAAUAUAGCACGUGUUCCAGCAGCCAUCUUAUCUUGUGGACCAUGGCAUGGCACUCAUUUCCUAUCUACAUGCUUAUCCUGAUUAUAUAUGAUACGCGCCACUAAAGAAUACCUAGAAUACCAUCAACCUUUGGUUUGUUAGGCGUCUAUGGCUGCCGCCGUCGCCUCGCUUCAACAUGAAAUCUUGUUGGACAUUCUUUAUUAGAGCAUUCACCCCUCAGAAAAUCGUCAACUCUAGGAAACGGAAUUAGAGCAACUCCAUCUUUCUUGUCCCGCCAACCUUCCACCUUUGACCACACAAGAUCAGAAGAAGAAAACUCCAGUGCAGGUGGACUCUGCACAGGAAGGGACAUAAUCUCAUCCCAUCUAGCCAUCUACAACAAAUAAAACGGAAAUGACAAAUUUAAUACAAUAGUCAUUUUAACAGAAGAAUCAAGACCAAAAUCCCAAUAGUCACACUCACACCUAACCCUUAACUAUUAGUUGAAUAAAAGGUUUUUCUAAUCGAAAAAAUGAACAAAAAUGGCGGAUUUUGCAACUGGCUUCGUAAAAUCACACGUUAAUAACAGUAAUAGAGGUCCUUUUUACUCUAAGCAGUACAAAAGAAAGUCAAAAACUUCAUAUCUGAUAACAAGAAAACAAACAAACAAACAAAAAAGAAGAAACAAUUUAAUUCAUGCAAUACAUUUCAUUCCCAACAAGAGAAGUUCAAAACUUUAGCAAACAAUUAAACUGAUUUCGUCUCUGUUUUCAUAAAUUCUCAGAAAUUAACAGUCGAAAAACACAAAUUAAAGGAAAAAAAAAGUGAAAUUCUUUGGGUUGUCAAAUAGAGAAAUUAUAUUCACACACCCAAAAUUUCUUCCACACAUUUUUAAUUUUUAUUUUAUUUUCUACACACUACUAACACUUGAUAGAAAAAGAUUAAAAAAUUAAAGGAUGUGAGGGAAGUAAUUUAGGAUGUGUGAAUAUAAUCUCCCUUUUAGAUAAGUGAAGUCGUUAGCUUCAGAGUCACACAUUGAGCUAUAUCGAUAUGUAUAGUAUCACGCCCUUUAUGCAAAAAGAUCCCCAUUUUUUCAAAAAAAUGGGGAUUAGGUGUAGGUCCACUCCACAACGAACUUUAAUGAUCUGAAUCGUUUAUUUUGUAAGGAACCAAAUCCCCUGCGGAUCCCUAAAAACUGAGCCUUCUGAGCAAAGAAUUAGGACAAUUGAAAUUUGAUCAAACGGUUACAAACAGGGCCCCUCUAAAAGUUAUAAUAAUUGUAGUCAUUGGAUUAAAUUUCAACGGCCCAAAUUCAUUGCUCAGGGGGCUCAGUUUUUGGGGAUCCAAUUCCAAUUUGUAAGUCUCAUUUCAUAGAUUAUUCUUACAAGAAUUCAAUUCAAUCCAAAAUCAUUUAUCUAUUUUGUAAGUCUCAUUCCAUAAAUGUCAUUAUAUCAUCAUUUCACGUGCUACCACAUUAUUCGGUUCAGCAGCCACUUUACCCUUGGUUCUCUCAGCAGUUACAUCUCCAUUCCCACAAUUACUCAUUUGAAGAUAAUACUUCCUCAUUCAUUGGAUCCUCAUUUCCUAAUUCUUGAUCUCGAUUGGUAAAAGACGCACAUCCAUUGUGGUAUCAUUACUUUCCAAAUUAGCUAGUCCACUUAAGGGUGCGUUUGUUGCACUGGAAUGUCUCGGAUUGGACUAGCUUUAGGAACUAAGCUGGAUUGUCUUAGAUUAGCUUAAUGAAGCAUUUGAUGCAGUAUCGGACUAAAAAGUAGGAUAAAAAUUAAUUUUCCUUUUUUUUUUAUCCAAAAACAAAGAACUCUAUCUGUCUCUCCAUUUUCUUUGGUCAAACUAUCUCUCCUCCUUUUUCUCCAUCUCUUCCAUUUUCCUUUCCCGUCCAAUUCCUUUUUCCUUUUCUUCUCGAUCACAAAUAUACACAGUUCACAUGCAAACCAAUUUUCCAUCAGACCAAACAACACCCAUCACCUGCCUUAUCAAUCCAACAAAAUUCCCAAACUUUCCCACCCUAAAAUUUGACAAUUCCAUUCAAAUUAAACAAAAGUUAGAGCUGGAAAACUGAGGAAAGAAAAAGAGAGAGAGAGAGAGAGUAAACGGAUCACCAAUAGUAGGAGGCGGCAACGCCAUAUAGUUUGAGGACGAGCAGUAGCGUAAAGGAGAAGAGGAGGCUAUGGGCCGCCAAGGCCUGCACGAACUUCAACAUUCUCCGCUAGUUCAUCAUCAUCGUAAAACAAUGUCGUCCGCUGCAAAAGUCGAGACUUUAGAUUGUGAGAAAUCUUAGGAGGAGGUUGAUGUUUCAGUAUACGCCAUUGAAACGAAAGAGGCAAGAAAUAUUCUUUCUCUCCUUCUUCUUUUUCAUCGUUCGGGUUGACCUAGAUGGCAAAAAAUCCCAAAUCACCAACCCAGAUGCCAAAAUGGCGCUGGGUUUGCAGGACGAUGGAGAUCAGAGACAACCGUUUCUGGAGAAGGGGGGUUAAUGCUACUCAUGUGGGUUCGUAGGACGCUGCUCGCAUACCAGGGAGACGGGACUAGCAAUCCCGUUGUUUUUGGGGGGCCUCGCUAAGACCUCCUAGUGAGGGAUUUAGUCGAGGCGAGUCCUCCUUUGUCCCAUUUACCUUUAGUCCCGCCAGUGAACAAACAUGGAUUGCACUAACUUUUAACUUAAGCGUCGAGUGAGAACUAAAGAAGGCAAACAAACACCCCCUUAAUUGCUUCUGUACAGAGACUGCUAGAGAAACAGCAUGAUCAAUUGAUUUUGACGGAGUUCUUCAGCUUAAUUUAUUAGUUUUGGAUUACAUUGCUCUUGUUUAAACUUUCAAGUAAUCUUUUUCCAUAUGAUUACUUCUAUUUAAGGGCUCAUGGCUUGGGAAUUGUUAUGCUAUUAUCACCUAAAUGCUCAUGUAAAUUGAAUUCGAUCAAAUUUUUACUAGAGUAGUCGAAUUUCUAUUAGAGUUGUUCUUAGUCAUGUUUGAAUUGCCAUGUUUAUCUUAUAUUUUCUUGAUGCAAACCUGGUCAUUUUUUUAUCUAUGCAUCCAGAGCAACAAUCAUGUGAUUUCUUGACAAUGAAUUGGACUUGUUUUUUUUUUUUUUUUUUUUUUGCACUUUAGUUGUUUAUAGUAACAAAUUCACUUGAUCAAUUGAUAUGUUCUUUCUGUAUAUAUAAAAAAUAUGUGCUAAAAUUCUUAAGUGUGUAUCAAUACACACACACACACACACACACACACACACACACACACACACACACACACAUAUAUAUAUAUAUAUAUAUAUAUAAUUGUAUACACAGAUGGUUAAGAAGGAAAGUAAUGGGGCAAGUGGAUCACAACUGCCAGCUGUAUGGAAUGCUCACAAUACAUCACUAUUUUGUGACGUGUGUAUCAAGGAAGUGGAGGCAGGAAAUCGUCCUGGUACCCACUUUAAAAAAGAGGGAUGGGAAAAUGUGAGUAUUAACCUAAAUAAAGAGACUGGAGAUGAGUAUAGUAAACAACAGCUAAAAAAUAAGUGGGAUGCACUUAAAGAGCAAUGGAAAUUAUGGAAAGAACUAAAGGGAAAAGAAACUGGUCUAGGAUGGAAUCCCAAGCUCAACACCGUUGAUGCUUCGGAUGAGUGGUGGCAUAAUAAAAUUCAGGUUUGUAAGCUUCUUGUUAGUUUCUGGAUGUUGUUUGUCUAUUAUUGAGCUUGAAUGCAUUUUAAUACUUGUUUCUUUAAAUUGCAGAUCAACAAAAAAUAUAAAAGUCUGCGUAGAAAAGGAAUUAGCCCUGAUAUGGAAGAUAAGCUAGAUAGGAUGUUCAUGAAUACCACUACUGGUGAUCAUGCUUGGGCACCCUCGUCUGGUGUACUUCCAUGUGAAAAUAAUGAUGAAUCUGAUGAGGAUGAUGGCAUUCAAAUUGACAGUAGUGAUUUUGAUGAUGUUAUCCCACUCAAAAAUACUCAAGCCGAUGAGAAGUAUUUGGGGAAGAAGAAAAAAAGAACUCAACAAUUUGAUACACAAGUUAAGAAAGAGAAUAAGGAUAAAGGAGUUGUUGCAAAGAAGGGGAAAUUGGGAGGUGCUGCUAAGUUGUCAGAACAGAUUGAUCGUAUGGUUAGUGCAAUUGAGAGUAGAAAUACAACAACUUCAAACAUGGCCAAGGGCUUACAAAAUAGUAGCAUUGCUGAAGUGAUGAAGAUAGUUUCAUCUUUACCUGGUGCAGGGCCUGGGAGCCCUUUGUGGUUAUUUGCAACUCGAUUAUUUCUAAAACAAGAGAAGAGAGAAAUGUUCUUAACUAUAGAAGAUCUGGACAUCAAGUUUCAAUGGCUUAACUAUGAGCAAGCUGAAAAUUAAGUGCCAUGUGAUGCAUUUAGUUUGCAAAGUUUUAUAUUUCGUGGUAGACAGUAUAGUCUAAGAUAUCUUUAAACUUGAGUUUAUUAUUUUGAUUUGUCAUUUGGGAUGGUUACUUGGAUUUCUUUGUGUUUUACUUGGGAUUAUAAUUGGAUGGUUUUGGAUUCUUUAUUUAAGAAUAAUUUUUUUUCAUGCAUGUACUCCUAUUUGUAGGAAUAAUGAUGAGAUUUUUAUUUUUUUUUCAAAAUUGCAGAUCUCUUUCAAGAUAUGGACAUCUUGCAAGAUGAGGAAGAGUUCAACCAAACUGUAUGCCUUUGUGUUCGUACUAUAGAACAUUAUUAUCAAACAUAUAUCCACAAAACACCUUGUAUGGAUUCAUCUCAAACAGGAUAUAAGUGGUUAAUGGAAAUAUUACGGGGAAAGAGGCGUUGUCAUAGGAUGUUCAGAAUGGAUAAAGAGGUAUUUAUGAGAUUGUGUAGUGACCUGCAAAACAAGUAUGGAUUGAGGGGUUCAAGGAGAAUGUGUCCUGGUGAAAUGUUAAGAAUGUUUUUGUUUAUUCUAGGACAAGGUGAAGGGAAUAGGUCAGCACAAGAACGAUUUCAACACUCCGGCGAGACUGUGAGCAGAUACUUUAGUCAGUUACUUGAUAUUGUAUGCCUUAUGGCUGUUGAUGUUAUCAAACCACUGGAUCCUAUGUUUAAUGGUGUCUCUGCAGAGAUAUUAAGCGACUCUAGAUAUAUGCCCCACUUUAAGGUAAAAAAAAAACUAGAUAUGAUACUUCUUGCUUUGUCUUAUGAAUUAAGUUAUAUUUAUUGAAAAUUGUGUUAUAAUAUUAUUUGCAGAACUGUAUUGGUGCUAUUGAUGGUGUACAUGUUCAAGCCACAAUACCUCCCGGAGAUCAAAUACCAUAUAUUGGCAGGAAAGGGACACCAACUCAAAAUGUAAUGGCCGUAUGUAAUUUUGACAUGCAAUUCAUCUUUGCAUGUGCAGGUUGGGAAGGAACUGCACAUGAUACAAGGAUAUUUUUAUCUGUUUUACGAAACGGUGCUUUAAAUUUUCCUAAGCCUCCUAAUGGUAAUGUCUCAAACUUGUGCAUAUGUUUGAAAUUUUGCAUUUGAUUAGACACUUUUUAUAGUUUCUUUUUAUAUCAUAGUAGCAUGUUUUGAACAUUACAGGAAAAUAUUAUCUUGUGAAUGCUGGGUACCCACAGAUGAGCGGCUAUUUAGGACCCUAUAAAGGUGAAAGGUAUCAUCUUCCUGAUUUUCGUAGGGGCAGAGAACCAACAGGAUCUAGAGAGGUAUUUAACCACAUACACUCUUCUCUUAGGAGUGUCAUUGAACGCACUUUUGGUGUAUGGAAAAAGAGGUGGAGCAUUUUAAGAGACAUGCCUAGUUACUCAUUUAAGAAGCAAGUAAAGAUAAUAAUCGCAACUAUGACGCUUCACAAUUAUAUAAGAAGGUAUGCCCGACGUGAUAAUCAUUUUGACAACAUGAAGGAUGACUUGGAUGAUGACACAAACUCGGAUGAAGAACAAGAAGAAUAUCAUAUUACCGAAGGACCCGAAGCACAAGAAAUAGAGACAUUGAGGAACAACAUUGCUGCAAGUUUGAUGUGUUCGUAAUUUUUUUUAUGUAUGCUUAUUUUAUUUUAUUAUUGUUUGAAGACAUUGAAGAAAAUUUUAUUUAUUUAAUAUUUGUUGUUUUUUUUUAACUUUUGGCAAUGCAACUACAAAUGUCAAAAUAAUUUGAGGGAAAAAAGAUUAGAUAUACUUGUGAGUCAUCUUUUUAACCAAAAAGUUAAUAGAAAACUAUUUUUCUCAUUACUUUAGUCUAAACUAGAAAAUGUGCCCGCGCGAUGCUGCGGGACUUAAAUGCAUCACCUUUAACUACAUGAAUAAGAUACAUUUCACCUAAAUAAAUUCAACACAAUCAUGAAUGAAGAGAGGAAUAGAUGAGUAAAUGGGGUCGGUAAGAUAUGCAACUUCGUUUUUAUAUACAUUGAACUGAACUCACAUGAAAAGACAUUGUACAAUGAACAGGACGAAACUGAAUGUUUUGGUUCCCUAAACUGAAACCCCUUGUCUCAGACACCCAACACCUCUCACCCUCAGAUAGCCCUAAACGAAGUGCCUCGUAGCAUCGAAUUGGCCUACAACACCCCCGAGCGAGAUUGAGACUACUUUUCAUAUUUUCAUUUUAAUGUACCAGCAAGGAAACGAUAGUAUAUUCCAAAAUUAGCAGUUUACAGAGAAAUAUAAAUAUUGUUUUCAAGAAAUUAAUAUGAUUGCAAAUGUAAUAGCUCCAUGCAUAGUGAGGUAGGAUAAAUGAUGGAAGACACACUGAAAUUUGAGGUCCAUAGGUUGAGAAGAGUCCAUAGCAUUGAUCCAGAUAUGGAUAGCUUGCACAGAUCUACAAUUCAAGCUCCGAAUAAAGUAUCAAUUUAUCAGCAAUUGUGACAUUCAUUAUUCCUAAAAAAGUUAUUGAUUCACAAAUAAACAAAUGAAAGUAAUCAGAAAAGAAACGCUUACCACAUGCUAGCUGAAUCCGAACUCAAAAUGACCACGAUAUUUUCCCAGCAAUGAUCACAAAGAGAUUGAUGCUUGGGACUUCUGUCCAUCCCUGAAAACAAUGGAAUAAUAUACCCAUUAAAAAACGUCACAAAAAGAUUUACAGUAACUGUCCCAACUAUUAUAAUUAUAUGGUCUUAUUGGCAUAUUCAGACUACAAAAUAAAAGCUGGCAGUUGUUUGCACUCGUAAACAAUUUCUCUUUACAAAACUAAAUAAAUUGUAAUGACCCAAGAAAUCAAAAUUUGAUUAGGCAUUAGAAACAAUGUUACCUUUUGGAGAAAAGGAUGCUCAACCAAAUGGAAGCCCAAAUUUAAAACAGCAACUGAAUGAAAAUCUGACGUUAUAAAAUCCAUAAGAAGCGUGUAAUGCGUCUAAUUUAAAAAGUCUCUCACACAUGUAAUUGCACGUAGGACGCCAGAUUCAAAAAAAAAAAAAAAACCUUGAAACCAAAGGACUGCAAAGGAUUGCUUUGUCAUAGAAAGUAAAAGAAUAAAUUGAAUCAACUGAACAUGCUUCUUGCAAACAAAGAAAGUAAAAUACGGGGGAACAAAAUCACAAAUCAACAUAGGCAUCUCUUAAGAAUUUAAAUAACCAAGAUUUUGAUGAACUGAUUGUAAGCAUAUGUGCAUAGAUGUCACUAUUUACAUAAAACAUGUAAAGGACAAUCAGUUUUGAGUUUCAAAAUAUAAAAUAUUAAAAUUUCCAUAAAAGAUAAGUAUUGGGAAACAAAGUUGGCAUCUCACCUUCCACAAUAGGUCGACAAAUCCUUUGAUUACGCUUUAGCUUCUUGUUUAACUGAAACACAAAUUCAUUGUUCAGAAUAUCAUAAUUUCAUGAAAUGGUUCACCUUUGAUUACGCUUGCUGCUUAGUGACUUGAUAAGUCGGUCACAAAGAUAACAUGUAGAAUGCAAAUAUGGAUCAGGAAAAAACAACAGCUAUAGAAUUGAUUAUAUAGAAGAAGAAUACAUACUUAUUGUGAGGUUAUCCCAGCUAUCCACUAUGACCCAAUAUAUAUAGCAAGUAAAAACUAUGGCAGCAAAGAUCUCACGUAUAUAAAUCUUGCAUAAACUUUGUUUUUGUACAAUGUCUUCUCCCUUCAAUGACAGUUUGUUUCUUAUUCAGGAAAAUAAAAUGAGCAGGUUAAUGAUACUCACAUGUGCAAAAUGCUAAUCCUAUGGUCUAAAGUUAACUGAAUUUUUUAGUGUAAAAUACCUAAUUUCACUGCAUUUCAAUUGAUCACAGUUCGUGCCUUGUUAAACUUGAUAUACCCUUAGACAUUUUGGGAACUUGACAGCUUAAAUUUUCUUUAGUUACAGAUGUGCUCAUAAAAGCAAAUUACAGCGACCCAAUAUAUACUAAAAACUUGGAGAAGGGACUCAAUUAGUUAACGAACAGGUGCCUCGCCUUUCAUGUUAAGACCAAAGAGAGAAAACCAAGCCGAACUCUUCAAAAUUCAUUGGCACACAUGCAUCAUCAGCUCAAUUGAAUGGAUAAUGCAUACUUAGAUACAACCAUUCAAACAAUUGAUGUAGAUUGACAUAAGCCUCCAAACUUCAAAAAAAUUGAAACCUUAUAAAAGCAAAACCUUUUUUCCUUCAUAUUUGAACUGUUUCGAUUACCUUAUCUCUCUAUCACUUGAUUCAUUAUUUCUAAAGGAAGUUCUAAUCACUACCAAAACAGCUUAAUAACAGUUGAUUAUCUAAAAAAAAAAAGAGGGAAAACAUGAAAUACUAACUGCACUCAAAAUCCCAAAUGUGUAACACAUGAUUCUAAUCUAAACCCUGAUUCUAAAAUUUAGAAUUCGACACAAAAAUGAAAAUUGGAAUGAUUAACAUGGAAAUGAGAGAGGGAGAAGUGUGAGGGAAUCUACACAUGAGGGCUUCGGAUCUGAGUCCAGAGCUGGAAGCGGCAGAGGUUGCGAACUUAAGAGUAUGGAAGAGGCGGGAAGGAUCCUUGUAAAAACAAUAAAAAUUAAAUAAGAAACUCGCCGGAAACUCGGAAAACCUCGUCGAAAAAACUGGACAGCAACUUACCUCGGAUUCACCUUUAACUCGUAACAAAUCUUUUCACAUUAUUCUCUAUUGCCACUUGUACUUCACUCAGUACUAAUCGAUAUAGCUGAAAGUCUGAAUCAUGAAGAAUGAGAAGUUGAAGUAUAUCAAAUGAUAAAGUUGUCAACAAUGAAGAAUGGGACAUUGACCAUGGAGACACUGCAAGAAGCAAAAGUGAGCAAAUUAAAUAAAUACCAGCAUCAACAUUUAGAAAAAAGUAAGAGCAGCAACUAUAAAUGAAGAAUGUGCAAUCAACAUUAAAAGUGUAUAAUAGGAACACGGAUCUCAUAACUAAAAGACAUUUUCUCACCAAACAAUGGAAAAUAAUUGGAGAUGCAAUUCAAUAAAAAAAGAAGUUAGCACUUGCUUAUUGCCUUCCAAAGAAGCUAAUGAAUCCAUCUGGUUGAAGAAGUGUUUAGCAUUGCCAGUAAAAACAACAAAAAUCACAUCAAAUUUCAAAUUAAUCAACUCAAUAGCAUGCGUACCUUAACAUCUAGAUGACGAAACAUUGGUUCCUCGAACGAAUCGUAAAGAUCACAAACACAAAUCAUGAAUUAGAGUUCGAAUACGCAUCUCCCGAUUUGAAACCCUAACGUAAUUCCCCACUUGGAAGAUGCAACCUUUGGGGUUCUGGCUGCUAGGGUUGAGAUGUUAAACCUUUGACUAAGAAAAUGACAUUGGGCAGCAUAGGAUACAUACUGCUCCCCCAGAUAGACCUGCAUGAAGAUUUAUCCACCAUCACAUGCGAAAAGGAAGAUGGUCAGUAUAUGUGUUUUAGUAAUCAAUCUAUAUUUGAAGCAAUGAAAAAAAAGCAUAUGACAUGAGCUAUCAUAAAUUAAAAUUAUCAACAAUCUCUUCCCAUUACGAAACAUAGAGAAACUACAAACCAUAACAAAUACAUUGAAAUACGCAAAUAUGCAGCAAAUCCCUCAAGCAAUUAAGAAAAAAAAUGCCUCUUAAAUCAGCAACCAAAUUCAAAUUAACAAAUGUCUCCAUAAAAGAAGUAAAAUGGAUGAAAAGAUACCUGGCUUUUUCAAAACAAUUCAAAUUCCACAACAUUUCAUUCAAAACAGUUCAAAAUUCAUAACCCCUCAAGCAAUUGGGGCUGUAAGUUACGUAAUCGGAUGGCUACAACCAAACGAAGAGCUUCAAUCAAUUAAAGUCAACAAAAUAUCAAUAAUUAAUCUAAAAAAAAAAAUUAAAUAAAUGAACACCAGGGGACUGAGGAAUGCUACUAAACAUCAGUAAGAACAGAAACGAAUAAUUUAAAUGCUUGAGCUUCAAUGAAAGCAUUUUACCCUUGCAAUUUUCCAAGAUAGCGGAGAGGCAAGAUGCACAUGUAUUAGUGAGAGGAUUUUCAAAGAUAUUGAGCACUUCCAAUCGAGCAGAUAGCAAAGGGCAUUCGCAAAUCUGAAGAUUGAAAUUAUUGAUCGAGACAGCCAAAUGAAUAGAGAUAUAAUCAUACAAUCCCCAAAAUCCAAAUCCAAAUCUGAAACGCCUGAUCCGUUUCUGGAAAAUGGCAGAGAAAAAUAGAAGAACUACGUUUUUAGAUGACCGGAUUGAAUUUGAGGCAGAGAGAGGGGGAGAGAAAGAGGGAGGAAGAGAAGCAGAAAAGCGAUAGAACAAAAUGGAAGACGCUUGAAGGGUCUUCCUUACCAACGACGUGAAAUCCAAUUGCCAUUUCAAGCUCCCUCAAUCACGACCUGUAGGAAAAUAUCAAACCCAAACAUAAGUUCACUGAAAUUCGAAUUCAAUAUAAUCAAACACAAACAAAAUAGCAAAAUUAAAAUAAAUAAAAAACUAAACUAAACUAUAAAUUAAAACUUUCAAUUGAAUAACCCCACAAUUUAAAUUACUAAACAGUAACAGAUUUCUCUGAGUAAUCAACUUCUCGAUUAUGGUCAUCGAACACGACAUUCUCCAAAACUGCCAAACACAUGCAACCAUAUUUGAUAAGAAUUUGAAAUAUCACUCCAAUCAUGACACAGAACAUAAACAUUUUGCGCACUGUCAUUUUUAAAGUAGAACGUUCAAUUAAAUCAUGAUGUUAAGUACCAGUCCCAAAUUUGAUAGCAUUCCAAAUAUCUGGUUCCUUGUCCAUUGACAAAUCAAUGCACUUGGCAUAGCAACCACCUUCAAUGUUUGACACACCAUUGUUGCCCCAGCAGUGCUCAUCAUCUCCAAUUAGAUACCGAUUAUGAUCCGUAGACAGAGUCGUCUUCCCAGUGCCUGCAACAAACAUCCCAGGAUCAGUUACACGAACACAAAAGAAACUGAAACACAAAAGAUUGAUGUAUCCAUCACCAAUUGAUCAUUGUACACAUAAAAUUAUCAUGAUUCAUACCUCUGCGUCGAUAUGGAAUUUUAUAAACUGGACAAAUGGAACCCAAUUUCAUCGACUUCACGGUGCAAGUGCUGUAAAAAAAUAAGCAAACACUGGCAAUAUGAUCAAGCACAUUCCAAGUAUUAAUACAUCCAAAUAAAACCUAACAUUCAUAUGCAAAUAACAAUGAAGGUAGAGAUUACUUGUAAGAGAUGAUUGCAAUUGAGUGAAUCCGCAGAACUCAGUAGACUCAAACUGCAAAACAGAUGGGGAAAAAUCAAACCCAUUAACAGAGUGAAGAAAUUUUUUAAAUCUUUAAACGAAUUCUGGACAGAAUCAUGUAAAGGGUCUGUUUUGGCUACCGAGAAACUUAGUAUACAUUUAAAUAUUAUUACAUGUUAAUACAAAAAUUUAGCUUUAUUCAGAUGGGAGAGAUCAAAGGUUGCAUCAUUCAGCUUCACACAUGGCUACAACACAAUUUCAAAAACUCUUGUCAUCUCAAAGUCACAUUCUUUAUCAAACUCCCACUCCAUAAUCGAACAGAGGUUGAUAACGGACAAAAAGAAACACAAAGUACGAAAUAUAAUCAAUAUCAUCAGUCAAAACUUACUGCAAAGGGUGAGGGGUCAACCAUGUGAUUUUUUGCCCCUUAACCUCGGCCUGCAUGGACAAACAACGGAAGAAUUCAUACCCAAAUAACACAAUAACAUAAAAUGGCAGGAAUGUAAAUAAUACAAAAUCGAGGGUCCAACACACGUUGAUAUGUCAUCGUGGUUUCCAAUUGAACCAUGAAUUCCAGAAUGUAAAUCAUACCUUGAGUAUAAGAAAACCAGAAAAGGAAAAUUAAAUCCCUCACAAAUGGUGGAAGAAAAUAUGAGAAACCUAUAUUAGUCCCAACGGUGUGAGUUUUCAUCAAAGAAGUAGACAAUCCACACGCUAAAUCACCAAUCAAACAUGAAGAUGAUCACAAAGAAGAAAUCCCUAAAACCAAUAUUUUAUUAGAGUUGAAAAUCGAAAUUAAGCCAAAACGGAACCGACACUACCCAAAUUAAGCUAAAAAUUCACUAACCCAACAUAAAGGCAAAGAAAAAUCACCUCUAGAUGACUGCCAUUGAUUCAAUGCAAAGAGAGCUCAAGCUGCUUAAUAUUGUUCUGAAAUUAGAGAGAGGGUGUGAGAGAUCAUGAGAGGACGGAGGGGCGAAUGGCGGAGUGAGAUUCAGCGCGUCUCUUCUCUGCAUAUAAAAGAUGCCGCACAAUUAUGCAACUUACUCCAUAGACUUAUAAACAUCACAAUUAUAAAUUCUGAAACUGAUAUAAAUUGAAUAGAAAUACACAAAGCAUAAACAAAUUCAGCAUAUGAACACCAAAACUUACCAAACUCAUGUGCUUGCUUGAAGCUGUUUUUGAUCAUUUUUCUACAAUCUACUGCAUAAAAAGGACCAAACUAUAACGGCAAACUAUAUAUAUAAUUUGCUAUAAUACCCAAAAAAAUUAAAUUACAUUAACAUUUGAGUGGAAGCCACGACCAAAGUGGUAAAAUUGAAGAAAACAUCAAAAUCCCAGAAAAAAAAACAAAUUCUUUCAGAAAAAAUCAAAGAAAUUUACUCAGGUAAUCAAUCAAUUAUGUACCUAAUUCCCCUGAUGUCUUGAAUAAAUAUAACACUCCAAGAUAAAUUAACUACCCAAUAUUAAUUUUUCCUGUUUCUUUCUUCUUAUUCUCGGGAAAGAAACAAACCCAAAACAAAUAAUUGAAGAAAACAUACAGAAAAUAUUGGGGAGGAGUAACAUACAAUCUGCUGAGUUCUUAUUCGCUUUGUAGAUAAGAGAUGGUGGCUUCUCAUCGAGUUCAUGUAUGUAUUGCCUGGAGUGAGAUGGUGAGCGGGCGUGAGAGAAUAGGGCAGUGAGAGAGAGUCGGGAGAGAAAAAGAGGGAAAGAAAUGGCGAUGGAAACGGACGGAAACGUAGUCGAAGCAGAGCAAUCCACGAUGAUUAACGCGUGGGCGCUCUUAAACUGUGCAAAAGCAGUGGUAAUUUUGUAAAUAAAUCGAAAUUUUCAAUUUGCGGUGAAGAGAUGAUGGUAAUUUUGUAAAUAACUCAAAAUCCACUCCAAGUUACUAUUCAUUUGAAUAGUGCAAUUGAAAAGCUUUCUUUAGACAAAAGCUAGAAAAAAUGCCCGCGCUUCGCUGCGGGUUUUGAAACUAUUAGCCAUAAUAGACGUGAAUAAUUGGCACGAAAAGAUGCAUUACAAAGGCGACACAAAUGGAGUCAUGUCCUAAAAUGAACCAGUGCAGAUGAAUAAUUUGCAAAAUCACAUUCAGUUUCAUUUCUAUAGGUCAAAAAACAAAGAAAACAUGUAUAUUAACUUGUCAUAUUUUAUAAAACUAAAAGCAUGGACAAUUCAGUGCACCUUGGUUGCACAUUUGUCAUAUCCAGCAGCUCACAUCGGCCACCCCCCACUGGAAUCCAAGGCUGAGGGAAGCCAUCUGCGGGAGUUGUCAUCUGAAGCACCACUCUUAUCUUUGCCUUUGUCUGAUUUGAUAUGUUGCUUACUAUUGCAUGGAUGCCAAGUAGCUUCAACAGCCUUCGAUGUACACAUAUCUGAAAUGCGGUCUUGUCCUACUGUUAGAAGCAAAGAUAGGAGCCCUAAUAGCAUAUUCUCAAGAGCUUCAUAGAGAGCUCUUUUGUUUCUCUUUGUCAACCACUGCAAGGAUUGCAAUUCAAAUUUAAUCAAAAUAAUUCAUUUCACAUUCAUAAUAAACCCGAAAGUGACUUGAUAAGAUGAAAUUAACCCAAUUACGUGUGAAAGGAAACCUUUCCAAUUAAAUGAAUGAAAUAUUUGAUGUGGAUCAAAACCAAAACCAAAUGAAAACAAAUAUCGACAACUGCCCAAGUUGGUGUUUGCCCCAAAGGUCUUCCUCCUCCUCCUCCUGCCAUCCUUUAAUUGAAACCCUAAUUUUCCUUACUACUAAAUAAUGCUAUUUUCGAUCUAUUUCUUUCGGUGUGUAAACUUUACUAAUUCUCGAUAAUUUUCAAUCACUUCCACUGUAAUUAAAAUAAGUACUGAGUAUAUACACACUCAUAAAAACACAAAUUCAGUUUUCCAUUCUAAAAAAUGAACGAAAGCACAUACUCCAAGUCAAUGUUCCUACUAUAUUCAUUAAUCCAACGAUGCAUCAAAUAUAAAAAUUAAAUUAUACCUCUAAUUUAUAACCUUUUGAUCUUGCUUCAUCUGCAGCUAAACCAAAAUUUGGACAAUCCCCAAUAUAAUUCCGUCAAAAUCCACAUAGCAACACCAUGUAAGAAUCAUAUUGGGUGUCUACACCCACACUUAUCAAUGUACACAUAAAUUUGAAAUCUGAAUCACUUGGGCUUCAAAGAAGGCCAAAAGUCUUUGUAUUCAAGCAUUUAAUACUCUACAGAAAUUAACUAAACACAGCCACAUUGAAUACCAAACCCACUUACUUACCAUCUUAUCCAACUCUUAUUUCGUAAAUUUUUCUGGUAAAGAAGCGUAGUUUAUCCUGAGCUCUGCAAUAGAAUAAUUCAAUUCUUCUUCAUUGCUUUUCAAUAGGAUCCCUACAAUCAAACAAACAUAAUUACUCUAGUAAAUAACUUCAAUUUAAAAUGCAAAGAUAUAACAGAAAGGAAAGUGAUUAAUUAAAAAAUAAAACUGUUAAAACAACAGACUGAUACACUUAACAUGCCAAUUUAUAUACUAUAUAACAAUACUAAAUCAAUUAAUUUAUAAAGAUUAGAAAUGGAUUACAAAAAGCAGAAAUCUUAUUUGGCAUGUAUGAAAAUGAUACACACAUUCUUAGCCAAUCAGCAUGAAAAAGGUAUAGAAAACUAAUUUACUUUGUUAACUUUGGACAACUGGAGAGAUGAAAGAACUCUUAGUUUUUACUAUAAGUAUGACAACCAUGUGAUUUCAUUGUUAAUUGGGACUGAUGUGUGUCAUUAGGAUUGCCAAAAUUAGUGAUCUUAGAGUUUGGCAGCCAAUGACCGAAUUGGACUCAAGUUUAUCAACAUUUGAUUCAACUAAACUAAAUUGGAUACGCUCAUUAGCAUAGAAAUAUGUAUACCAUAUGACAAUAUUGAAUCAAGUUAUUUGCAAAGAUUUAAAAUGCAAUGUAAAAAGGAAAAAAUUUAUUUUAUAUGUAAUAAAAUGAUUAACAAAUUUUUUAUUGAGCAGUAUAAAAAAGGUAUUAAAAACUAACCUAAUUUAUUAAGUUUGGAAAAAUUGGACAGAUAAAAGAAAGCUUUUAAUCCUUACUAUAACUAAAAUAACUAUGUUAUUUCAUUAUCAAAUAGGAUUCAUACGUGUAAUCAGGGUUAAGAAAAUCACUGAUUAAAGAAUCUGCCAGAAAUCAUCAAAUUGGACUUGAACUUACCAAUUUCUGAUUCAAAUAAACUAAGAAAAGGAGUUGGAAUCAAACUAACCUCUGUUUUCUAUAUGCAGCAAACUGCAUCUUGUUUUUGCCCUUGUUAACAACAUAUCUUCGCUCUGUACACACCAAAAAACAGUAAACACCUCAUUCAUUACUAACAGCCAUUUCAAUCAAUUAAUUAUUUAGACAAAUUUUUCAACGAUUCCGAAGCUCAGACAAAAAUUGCAUGAGAAAAUUGAGAUUAUAUGCAAUUGGAUGUCAAAGAACCUGAAAAUACCAUAUAUCCAAUAUUUAGUGCAUACACCUAAAAACUAAUCUUUAUAUAUACUUUAAAAUAAUACAGAUCAAUGUAAUCUAAAACAUUGGAAAUGCAUAUCAGUGCAAGCCAAGGUCUCAAGUUCUCAGAGUGGGGAAUUACUGAUUAGAACAGUUAAUUCUCUGCUCCUUUUUGGGUAUGAACUAAUUAGCAUAGUAGCCAUAAAAAUACGAAACAAAAGCUCAAUAAUUUAUGCAAUUUGGUUAAAUUUUAUACAAUUUCUAGCAAAACCCAAAACUCAAUAAUACAAAAGGAACCCAAUAGAUGAUUAAAGCAAUUUUAUACACAACUUAUGCAAGUCCAAAGAAACGCAUUUGAUCAAACUUACUGAAUACUGAAAAAAAAAAUUACAAUCAAAGUACGGAUUAAUAACUACCUCAACAACUAACAGAGCCAAAGCCAAACCCUAGAGCUUCGAAGGGCAGAGACGAUCACAGAGACAAGAAUAGUCCUUAUUCCUUCCCACUGCUGCUGCUGCCACUUUCUCUCUCUAAAAACCAAUUGGAAAUUGUUUAUAAAGAGACAGAGAGGAGAGGGCUAUGAUGAUUGGAUGAAAGAAGCAUGAAAAACUAAAAGACAUGUAAGCUUGAAUUCGAGUCCCAAAUUGAAAAUAUAAGGGAGGAGUGUAAGGGUGGCUUACCGAGGUCAGGAGAGGUGAGUCUCAUAGGAAAAGUCGACGAACAGUGGCAGGAGCCAGUGCACAGUGAAAGGCCUCGCCUGUGUCUCCUGAACAGAACAGAGUGAGUGAUAGUGGUUCUGUGAGAUGGAGCGAGUGGUGGUGGUGCUGUAGUCAUGUUUUGCCGGAAAAUGGAGGCUUUGGUGCGCCUCGGUGUUUACAGAGAAAAGAAAGGGGAGUCCAGGGAGCUAGUGGUUGUUUGAUGGAGUUGAGGCUCGCCGGAGUGGCGAGUUGUGAUGUGGACUCAGGCCUCUCGGCCUCUGGGUUUUACGGAGAAGGGGAAGAUGGUUUAGGGUUGAGAGAGAUGGAGGGACGGCUAGGUUUUAGAAAAGAUGAAGAAGAAUGGGGGUGAGCAGCGCUGGGGCUACAUGUUGAGGGAAAUGAAGAGAGAGCAAGAAGAAGUCGAAGGCAGUGAACCCUACGGACAAAUUUACCCUUCUAAGUUAUAAUAAUUACCCUUCCAACCCAGCCCAAAUCUGAUGGGUUCCUUGUAAAUAAGGUGAAAUCAAGUGGCAAACAAUUGACUGUAGCCAUGAACAGUAAGGAACAGUGCCAAUUGAAAAGCCUUCUUUAGACUAAAGUAAUAAGGCUUUUCAAUUGCACUAUUCAAAUGAAUAGUAACUUGGAGUGGAUUUUAAGUUAUUUACAAAAUUACCAUCAUCUCUUCAUCGCAAAUUGAAAAUUUCGAUUUUUUCACAAAUUACCACCGCUUUUGCACAGUUUAACAGCGCCCACGCGUCAGUCAUCGUGGAAUGCUCUGCUUCGACUACAUUUCCGUCCGUUUCCAUCCCCAUUUCUUUCCCUCUUUUUCUCUCCCGACUCUCUCUCACUGCCCUAUUCUCUCACUCCCGCUCACCAUCUCACUCCAAGCAAUAGAUACAUGAACUCGAUGAGAAGCCACCAUCUCUUAUCUACAAAGCGAAGAAGAACUCAGCAGAUUGUAUGUUACUCCUCCCCAAUUUUUUCUGUAUGUUUUCUUCAAUUAUUUGUUUUUGGGUUUGUUUCUUUCCCGAGAAUAAGAAGAAAGAAACAGGAAAAAUUAAUAUUGGGUAGUUAAUUUAUGUUGGACUGUUAUAUUUAUUCAAGACAUCAGGGGAAUUAGGUACAUAAUUGAUUGAUUACCUGAGUGAAUUUCUUUUAUUUUGUCUGAAAGAUUUUUUUUUUUCUGGGAUUUUGAUGUUUUCUUGAAUUUUACCACUUUGGUCGUGGCUUCCACUCAAAUGUUAAUUUAAUUUACUUUGUUUGGGUAUUAUAGCAAAUUAUAUAUAUAGUUUGCCGUUAUAGUUUGGUCCUUUUUAUGCAGUAGAUUGUAGAAAAAUGAUCAAAAAUAGCUUCAAGCAAGCACAUGAGUUUGGUAAGUUUUGGUGUUCAUACGCUGAAUUUGUUUAUGCUUUGUGUAUUGUCUAUUCAAUUUAUAUCAGUUUCAGAAUUUAUAAUUGUGAUGUUUAUAAGUCCACGGAGUAAGUUGCAUAGUUGUGCGGCAUCUUUUAUAUGCAGAGAAGAGACGUGCUGAAUCUCACUCCGCCAUUCGCCCCUCUGACCUCUCAUGAUCUCUCACACCCUCUCUCUAAUUUCAGAACAAUAUUAAGCAGCUUGAGCUCUCUUUGCAUUGAAUCAAUGGCAGUCAUCUAAGGAUGAUUUUUCUUUGCCUUUUUGUUGGAUUAGUGAAUUUUUAGCUUAAUUUGGGUAGUGUAGGUUCCGUUUUGGCUUAAUUUCGAUUUUCAACUCUAAUAAAAUAUUGGUUUUAGGGAUUUCUUCUUUGUGAUCAUCUUCAUGUUUGAUUGGUGAUUUAGCGUGUGGAUUGUCUACUUCUUUGAUGAAAACUCUCACCGUUGGGACUAAUAUAGGUUUCUCAUAUUUUUUUGCACCAUUUGUGAGGGAUUUAAUUUUCCUUUGUGGGUUUUCUUAUACUCAAGGUAUGAUUUACAUUCUGGAAUUCAUGGUUCAAUUGGAAACCACGAUGACAUAUCAACGUGUGUAGGACCCUUGAUUUUGUAUUAUUUACAUUCCUGCCAUUACCAAAAAGCAUGGGCUGCAGAGAGAGAGGGAGAUAGGCGGGGGAUGGCAGGGAGGGGAAGGGAGAGGGAGGAGUGAGGUUGCUAUAAAAAGGGGUUAUGGUUGAUUUUUUUUUCUCCUCAAAUCAAGGGUUGGUGUCGGGAUUAAGGGAUGUGUCAAAAUUGCCAAUAGAAGCCUAAAUUAAUGGGUAGUUGUCGGUGAUUGAGAGAUUGAGAGGGAGAAAAUUGGGGGAGGUUGUCACUGACCCGAUGGAGUGAGGGAUUUUGUGAGGAUUAACUAACUUAUUGACUAGGAACACAAGACAAGACAUGCUUCCGGUAAACCGCCUCCGUCGCUUUCCUCCUCUCGCCUCCGUCUACCUCCUCUCCCUUUCUUCGUCUCCCCCUCCUCCUCUCUCUCUCUCUCUAUGGAAUCGAUCGAUCUUCGAAGAGGAUAAAAAGAUCUGAAAUGGUGUGCUUCUUCUACUGUGAUUCUGUGUUUUUAAUUUUUCUGGGUUUGGCUUCUUCUUUUAUUCCACUACUAAUUUACAAAAAUAAUGAAUUUUGUACAUUUUGUUUUUAUUUUACUUUUUGUUAUAUUUCAUUGUAAUAUCAAAUAGAGUUGGUAUUUUAAAAUCUCACUGCAAUGUUUUUUGUUAUAUUGUUGGUGGGUAUCUUUAAUUAUGCCCUGAUGGAGAAAGGCAAAGAGGACAGACCUGGAUUUGGGGCAUAAAAGGGAUCUUUAGAUUUCUGUGAAAGUACUUUGUGCCUUUUUGCUAUUGGUGAUGAGUGUUCAUGAAUAUUUAUGCUUUAAUAUAGCUGUUACAGGAGCAAGUUGUUUAGUUAAAAUCCUAAGAAGAUUAGGGUAAAACAUUCCGGCUCUCUCAUUAUUGAUAGUCUGAAUUUCUGCAAUCUCUGAGAUAUAUUUGGGAUAGUUUUAUAGUGAUAUACAUCAAGGUUCAAGAAAAACUUUGCUGCACUGCACUAUAGGAGUAUCUGGUUGAUGAAAUUUUUCUGAUUUAAGCAUUUAGCUCCUCGAUUGCAUUAAAUCAGUAUUUAAAGAAGUUUUUGUCUGAGAAUGCAUUGAUAGAAUUUUUUUUGCCCAAAAAUUAACUCACAGAGCUUCCUGUGAGUUAGUCUUAGCUUUUGAUUUAAUUUUUUUAGAAUUAUUAUCAUUUUUUUUAUCUCUGCUGCUGUUUUGGAUUUUUUUUAAUGAUUUUUAUGCGAUGUUCAUCUGUGUAGGCACUCAAAUUAGUGUUUUGGAGUGCAUAUGGACCAGACACCACAAAAGAGAAAACGGAAACCAAAAUCAGAGCCAUCAAAACAAACAAAUGCUGGUAUGUCCUAAAAAAGGUUGGUUUGUGCACUUUCAAAGAAUACAUGGAAGAAGAUAAUAUUGAUCAUGGUGUAGAAUGUGAUGGUAAUGUGGUUGAAAAAGAUAAAAUGUUGCACGAAAAGAUCUCAGAGCUCAUUGACGAAAAUAUGCAGCACCAGGCUGAGUUGAUAAGGAGAAACAAGGAGAAUAGUGAAACAAUUGAGUGGCUUUUAUCCCAGGUGCAUAAGCUAACGGAUGAGAACAAAAUUUUGAAGAUUAAUCUGGGAAUCCAUAAGGAUACUACUGAUCAUACAAUUGCAAUCCAUAAGGAUGCUACUGAUUAUACAAUUACAAGGCAAAACAAGCCUCAGUUUUCAAAGUCUAAGUCCAUAGGGCCAUCUUUCCCUGGAAGGCUCACUGGAUGCCUAGAACUUGGAUCUUAAUUAGCUACUUUUCAACUUUAGUAGGUAGCGUUAUAAGUUUUCAAAUGUAUCUGUUUAUAUGCUUUCAUAAUACAUGUGAAGAUUCCGAGUCAAUUAUAACAUAUUUUAAUUUUUAAUUUUAUGAGUAUAGAAAAGGAAUUGAAUGCUUCGUUAUUUUGAUCUUGCAGCUGAAGCCAAGUCUGGAUAGAGAGAAAGAUCUCAUGGUAGGAAUCAUGGACUUGAUGAAGGUGAGGUUAACAAAGUGUGCUUUAGCACCAAGAUUGGAAUCUGGGUGUUCUGAGUUUUGUUUUGUUGUGAUUUUUCUAUAAUCUAGAUGCUGAAAUACUUGGAGUUGGAAUUAAUAAGAAUUGAUUGAACAUGGAUUUUUUAUUAGAUUGGUAUGGCUGACAUAGUUAAGAAGUAGUUUAAGAUGCAGUGAUUAGGGCAUUUCUUUAACUGAACAUAUUUGUUUUCAUGAGGUAGAUAGAAUCCUCUGUAAUUUAAUUAAUUAGAUUGAAAUUUGGGGUCUGGAUUCUUAAACUACUAUGGUGGUUAAUGUAGCUUUUUUGGUGAAUUUUUCAAGUGGGGAAAAAGAGGUGGGUGUGGGAUUUAUAUUGUUAUUCUCAGUUGGUAUAUAAAUAUUUGAGUGUGCAAGAAAUGGUUACCAUACAAAAAAUACAAGAACUGAAAUUAGAAGGGAUAAUGGCAGUUUGCAGAGGGUUGGUUCAGGGAUGGUAAAAGUUGUGUACGUGGCGAGAUUAAUGGAGGUGGUUUCGUGGUGGCGUAGUUCUCCGUGAAAAAUGGCGACGGUGGUCGCCUUGCUAUUUCUGUGCAGCGAGCACAGUAUCAAGAGAGAGAGAGAGAGAGAGGUGAGGGAAAUAGGGAGAGUAGUAGAGAGGGAGUGAGACAUGAGGGUGGUGGCAAGCUGGUGCCUUGAGGGAGUGGCGAGUGAGGUGGUGAUAGUUUCUCGAACGGGAGAUUUAUGGUGUACUAGAGAACUUGACUCCUCUCUCAGUCUGGUCUCCGGAAGAGAAAACCAAACAUAGCUAUGCAUUAGCAAAGUUUGAAAUGAGGGUUUUUAAUCUUUGGCAUGCUAUUGUCUUUAUUUGAUCAUUCUUUGAAAAAAAUUAUGAUGGACAAGUGAAAUAAACUGAAUGAAAACUUGGAGAAGAAGUUCUGAUUUUUAAUAUCUUUAAUCCGGGAUUAUUGUGAUGCCCUUUGACAAUUGAAAUGUGAAUGCAUUAUGUUGCUUAGAACACAAGUCAAUAUUUUUUAAACUGUGUUAGGUAUGAUGGAUGCUAUAGAUAGAAAAAUGUUGGCUUAAGGUUGGAUUCCAGGUAAAUAUGUGCUAUCCUGGAUGAUGGAAUUGCAUAGCAUCCUAAGUUUCUUUCUAUAUUUUCCUGAACAGAUUUACUGAAAAUGUUUUUCAAGGAUAUUCAACAAUAACUUUAAUCUUCAGACUUUCUCAUUGUUGCAGUCUCUAAUGCUUUAGUUAAUCCUAUUAGCCUAUUGUUAGAUCAAUUAAAAGAGUGUUUUAGCCUUCUGUUAGUGUUUCAUCUUAUAUACUUUCUCUCAUUGUUAGAUCAGUUGUGAUUCUGUGUGGUUCAUGUUUCCGGGUGUAAAAUUGUUCAUACAAUCUCACUUUUGCAUCUAAUUAGUGAGCCAAAAAGAAAAUUUUUAACAUUUUAAAUCCUAAUUAUCUCUAUUUCAGCCAAUGCAUAUUUUUUCCACCUAAAAGUCUUUGAUGCAUGUCUUCUUUUUUUUUUUUUUAGUAUUGAAACAUACAUUGUUCGAAAUUUGUUGAGCACUUGAAACUUUACAAGUUAAGAUUUGGAAUUUUAUGAUAUAUGAUAACUGCUUUGUAUGUUUGUUGUUGAUUAAGCACGUGGGAUACAACUCGGUCUUAGACACUUAAUAAAGGUUUAUCGUUUGAAAUUAAUGGGGCACAUGUUAUUCUCAUGAUAUUGGCUGCAAAUGCUGCAGAGUGAUUACAGAAACCAACGCAGAAAAAGCUUUAUAGGUAACUUUUACAUUUAUAGCAUUUCAGAAUUCGCAUAAAUACCAGAAAACAUCUUGAAAGACUACCAUUUCAAGUGGAUCUUUUCUUUCAUGUGGAAACCAAGCUUCCUUUUUCUUAACUCAUUCUAUUAAAACUUCAAAUUAUGUUCAAUUUGUUGAUUGGCUGUUAGCACUUAAGUUGAUCUAUUUAUUUCCAAUGUACCCUUUUUUAUGCAUGAGUGCUUUUCUGUUGCAUGUUUAGAAGAUGAAUGCAUCAAUUCUUAGGUAACCUUCUUUUUGUUCUGUGACGUAGGACAGAGUAGGACAGCGGAAAUUAGAUUGUUUAGCGGAAGUGAAACGACAUAAAACUUAAAUUGAAACAUCAUAUGCUUCUGUUUUAUAGGACUGGGGGGGGGGGGGAUAAAAACAGUAUAUUUUGUUGUUGCAUGUUUCAUUUAAUUCAAACUUUCAAAUAUACACUCUCUCUCUUCAUUAUGCACAGUAUGUUGAUGUGAACUGAAUCUAAAUAAUUUGUCUUUCUGUCGAAAAUAUUCAUAGUAUGUCCUGCAUUACAGUUUCAAAACCCACAGCAGCACGUGGGCAAUUUUAUUUUCCCUCUCCCUAUAUGUAGUUUAAUAUAAUUCAACGAGUUCAAAGAGAAUGAUCAGAAUGAAGGUUUGUAUUAGAUCCGAUGUGCUUCCUCUUUCUAUGCAUUUUGGUUCAAAUUAGGGUUUUAGGUUGAAACCCGAAACGAAAAGAGAAUAAAGUUUUCAGGAUGUUCGGAUUUUGUGUUUCGAUGAGAGGAAAAAAUGAGAAAUUUGUUAAGAAAAGUUGUGGUCGGAUUUUACAUGUUUACCGUUUUCAAGGUACGGUGUUCAUCGAUCUUAACUUUAAAUUUGUUUCUCAAUUUUUUUGUAGUUUUGGAUUUGUAAAAACCCUCGAUUGAAUCGGGUGCUGGUAUGGUCCCUUACAGGAAAAAAAAGUUUCAUUUUUUUCCCCUUAAAAUUUUAGUUUUUGUUAUUUUCUUUUUUCUUCACAAAGGAACUUAGGUGGUAGCUGUAUUACUAAUUAGCUACAGAAUUUAUAUAUUCUUAUGAGUACGGUAUGGGUGCAGGUUUGCUAUGUUGCUUUUUGGGAUGAAAUUACUUUAAAUACAAAGGAAAAUUUGAUCGAUAUUAUUGGGUUGUACGCAGAAAUCUAAGUUUUACCUAUUUUGAUAAUGCUUGGUUUUUGUGUAUUGAGUUGGAUAGACAGUUCAUAGGUUUGGUUCCAUAUUUAUUCGGAGAAGAAAAACACAAAGAGGGCAACACAAUAACCCUAGGAUGAUUAUAUAUGGAAUGAAUUAAAUCUAUUAACGAAUUAUAUUUUGGGUGGUGUUAGGGAGAAACGCCUACACUCCAAAUAUUUAUGAAUUGGAUUCAUUAUAAAAUAGGUAAAUUGUAUGCAUUACUUCUUUUGGCACUAAAUCUUUUGUUAAAUUUUAUUUUGCUGACUUUUAGUUUUUGACUUUCCUUUGGCAGGACUUUUAAUUAAGCAUGCAUCUUUGGUGUAAUAUUAUCAUAUUCUUGAGGUUUGAAUUUUUUACUCUUACUUUUGUGACCAUUAUAUGUUUGCGUAUCUCUCUUUUGGGUUAUCCAUCAAUUAAAAAUUAUUAUGUGAGGAUUUUGAUUGUUGACUUAUCAUUGGUAUAUUUCAAGUGGUUUUUGAUAUUUUGAUAGGUGUUGGAAAAAAAAGAUGAAAUUGUUUUGCGCUCAACGCAUAGUUAAUCUUAAAAUAGGGUUUAUUAAAUUGGUUUGAUGAUAUAUAGGUGGUAACAAAUUAAUGAUGUCAACUCCUACAAGGAAGAGGCUGAUGAGAGAGACUUCGAGAGGCUGCAACAAGACCAGCCUGCGAGGAUUAGUGGGGCGCCUCAGGAUAACAAUAUAAUGUUGUCGGCGAGGUUAGUUAUUUUUUAGGCUUUGCUUCUACAAACGUGAACUCUUUACAUGGAAACCGAAUUUUAUGUGAAUUUUAAUAGUUAUAUAUCAAACUCCUCUGCACUGAACUCUGUGUAUUACAACAAUUAUAAUUAGAACUUGGAUGAAAUGGGCUCCAUCCAGCAAAACUCCUGCCCUAACAAUAAUAAUUAGAACCAAAUUUGAUAAUUUCUCAUAGUUUAGGCCAUUUGGCCAAGUCAGAAUGAGAAACAUAGAUGUUUUCUUUAUCUUAUGCUAUUUGUUUGGCUGUAAAUCGUAUGGAGUAAAUCUCAUGGUGUCAUUCUAAAUAAACUGGAAAUAUGUCUCAUGCAAAAUUAAUGUUGAUGUUUAUCAAUGGAAAUAAGUUUUGAAGUGAUUACCUUUCUUUAUACAAGUUCUCUUCACAAUGAAACCUAUAUUAUAGUGUCACUUUUACUUGCUUUCGCACAAAAGGGGUGUCUGGACAUGUAAUUGGCGUGUCAUUACUCACUAAAUCUUUUUUAUCCUUAUCUUCUAUAUUAAUAUCACCAUUUUUUUGGGUGCUCAUUGAGUGGUUUGGCAGGUAAUAGAUAAAGGUUUUAAUGCAUUCAUUUAAUGUUAUUACAGAUCUGCUAAAUUCUUCAAGAAGUCCGGUUUACAGAACUGAAGCUGUUUAAGCACAAGGUGUCCCAGUUUAUAGAUGAGGUAUUAUAAAAUUUAAAAAGCGUCAAUAUUAUCAUUACUGAUCCUUAACAUUUAACUAUCAAAGCUUGAGUUUAUAAUAAUUAAUUCUUCACUGAUGAUAUGUUGUGAUGGGGUUUAGUAAUUUUCAGUAUUCUUCAAUUCUUUUAAUCUGCAAAAUCAAAUAGCCCAUGGAAUUUAUGGCAUACAAUUAGUUUCCUUUCAGUUGGGUUGAAAUGAUAUUGAUUGUGUUGUUAUGAAGCUCCUUUUUAUAGUUAGGUUGAAAAUCAUAUUGAUAGAUUCUUUAUUUGGUUGGUCCUAUCUGUAACAAAUGGGAUUGUUUUGUUUGAUGUUUGAAUCAAAAUUUGAUCUUUUUUUGUGUGAAAUUAUGAUGGAAUCGCAAAUUUGUGAGGUAUAUCUUAGAUUAUUGGUUGCAUAGUCACCUUCCCACAACUAUCACAUUGUCUCUUGACUAGAUGAAUUUUUAUAAUUUCUAGGAUCUACGGUUGCAAUGCUUUUGAUGCAUGCAAUCAGGAGGAUGCUACUACUCUUAUGGAGCUUCUUUGGCAUGGUAAGUUGAAGUUGCAUAGCAUUUUUUUUUCGUUCACGAAAUUCGUUAUCUUGCUAUCCUGGCAAUUAGCAGUGUCUGACAACUGGUGAAGUAUAUGAAUAUAUGUGGAAGUUUGAAUUAUACAAAUGAAAGUGAACUUUUAACAACUCUAACUUAGAAUUUUUAUUAAUUUCUUUCAUUUGUGUUCGACUAUUUUACUUUUUUGGUAUAUAAGUACAACUAUAGAUCGAAAACCACAUAAAUUACCUAACAGCCAAGGAAUUGUUUGUGGUAGAACAUAACAUGAUGUAAAGCUCAAAUUUUGGGCACUUAAAUAUAUGUUUUUUUUUUUUCAAUUACAAUCAGUCAGCAUGAAAGUUCAAUUGGAUUUGUUCUGGUCUCCAAAAAUUUUUCUUUGUUUGGUUACCGAUUAAUUUAUGUGGUGAGAGUUUAGUUUUUGCUUUUCUGCCUAUGUAUAUAUGAUUUGAAAUGGACAAUUCAAUUUUCUAUAUAUAAAUUUGUAGUCGAAGAGUUCGAAGGAGAGGUGAAUUAGAAACAAUGGGGGGAAGAGUGAUGGAGUUGAGGAGUUGAGAGUUAAUGAGGUAUACUUGAAUUUCUGUAUGAUGUCCUUGGUAUUGGGAGAUCAUUGAGACUAACUAUCUGGUUGAUUAAUCACGAUGUCCUUGGUAUUGGGAGAUCAUUGAGACUAACUAUCUGGUUGAUUAAUCACUAAUUUGAACUAUUUGUGCUUGGAAAAUUAGCUACUUGAACAAGUACUGAACGCUUUCUAUGUUUUCUCUUAUUAACUGCUGAAAUAGGUGCCUGCCCUAUAGGACACAUAUUUUGCCUUCUUAACUACAAGGGAAAAAUAUGUGUGAAUUGCAUGUUGCUUAUGUUUCUUAUGGAAACAGAACUUUUUUUGGCAACCAUGUCUUUGUGAUCAAGAAUGUUCAGUUUCUUCCUACUAAUUGUGCAAUGUCUUUACAUGUCAACUUAGUGGAAUGUAUAUAAAAGUCAAACUACUUAUCUUAUCGAUCUCAUUCACUCAUGUGUCCCUCUGUUCAUUCAUGAUUGUGUUGAAUUUUUUCAGGUAAAAUGUGUCUUAUUCAUGCAGUUACGCCUGAAAUAGUGGUUCCCACUGCAACACGUGGGCUUAUUUUCUAGUUAUGUCUAUUUUUGUCAUUAUACAAAAUUUCCAAAAUUUUACAUUAGUAUUUACCAAACGCUUUUAUACUACUUUUCAUACUUACAGCAGUUUUAAAAAUACAGUUUACCAAACGUUCAGCUGCUUUAUUUUACAGCUGAUUAUUCUUAAAGCACAACUGUUGACCCUAAAAACUACAAAGCCUACGUGGCGCGCAGGCCGAGUAAUUAAUGAGCUAACUACGUCCUUCGGUGAAUGCGGGGCGUGCCAACUCGUCGGCCGAGCUCGGCCGAGGAGUAAAUUUGUUGAUGUUGCGUUGGGUCGCGCUACUGACUUCUGCGUCUUGCCAUUGCGGCCGAGAAAGGAACACGUCUCGGCCUCUUGGGCUCUCGAACCUGAAGACAAGGUUACUAUUCUUACGAAGUUCAAAAUCAAAUUCGGCUUUCAAUGUGCCGAAUGUAAUAACUGUAACACCUCACUUCGCCGAGAAGGCUGAUGAGAUGACCUCGACCAAUAAGGAUUUAGAAACCCUUCUCGACCGAGACUUGGAUAGGUAAUCAAUCGUUCUCGCCGCAGUGCUGUUGAUGCCAACGGAAGGUACUGCGAGACCGACUGACUCUACAGUGACAGAGCUAUCUAUGCCGACUUAAGAUAUCACCGGUUGCUUCCACAGUGCUGUUGAUGCCAACGGAAGAUGUGUCAGUGAAAAAGGAAAAAGAAAAAUCACAAGUUGUGAGAGUUUGCGCAGGGCAAUUUUGUAUUGAUUUUGUGGGUCUCGUUCCGUUGCCACUGCCUCUCUAUUUAUAGAGCUAACUUAGCAUAAAACCCGGCCGUGACCAUCAAUCACCACCACAAAUAAUAAUCGUUACGCGAGGAUGAUUAUCCAAUGAGAAUCGUAGCACUCAAAUCUCUUUGGUGCUAACGCAUUUCAGCCAAAACCACAUAACAAAUCAUGGCAUGCCAAUUCCGUCUUUUGCUAAAGAUAAGCAUUGUCGUUCAAAUCCUAGUCCCAAAGCCCUGGCAUAUCAAGCUUUAUCCAUAGGAUAUUCACUUCACCUAUUUGGCAACCUUGAAUUUGCUAAUAAUUAUCCCAUGCAUGCAUCACAUUAGCUUACGUAAUUAAUCUUUCAAGUUGGACUCCACCUUGAUCACCAACUGAUGCCACCACGUGCUAGGACUCUUCUCAUAAUGCAUGAUGCUUAAUCCCCGCGUCGAAUGAUAAGAAUCCCACAUUAAAUCGAACUGUUCUGCUUGCUUCGGUAUAGUUUGCGUCACAUUUAUCUUGUAUAAAAAGUGUCAAGAUAAUUCAUUAUUAAAAGAUCAUUAUUAUGAUUAAAAAUCAUAAUAUUAUCCCCUAACAACAAUAAAAUUAUCUUAACUUUCCUAUCCGACGGUGUGGAGCAAUGCUCACUCAACGGCCUUGAUCGCACGGGCCGAUGAUGUAAAUUGAGGUCCAAACAACAACAGAAGCAGUUUUAAAAAUAAGAACAGCAAUCCCAAACUGGCCCUUAGUCGAGGCGAGUCCUCCUUUGUCCCAUUGAACUUAGUCCUGCCAGUGAACAAACACGGAUUACACUACCUUUUAACUUAAGCUAGUCCAGUGAGAGCUAAAAAGGCAAACAAACAUCCCCUUAAUCGUUUCUGUACAGAGACUGCUAAAGAAACAGCAUGAUCAAAAUCAAAGAAUCAUGAGGCGGCCCCAGCAAGCCCCUCAGCGGCUCUACGUCCCUCCGUCGUCGCGCGACGGAAACAGCCACGACAACUACGAAGACACCGACCUCGACAACAUCGAUUACGACGACAACGAUGGUUCCAAGGACCCCGGGAGUGACGACAACAACCACGGCAACGCUGGCAGCGGUGAUGAAGAAGUCGAUCCUCUGGAUGCUUUCAUGGAGGGGAUUCAUGCGGAGGUGAGGUCAGCUCCGCCGCCGAAGCUGAAAGUGAAGGCCGAGAAGUACAGGGACGAUGAGGAGGAGGAUCAUAUGGAGAGGUUUCUGAGGGCUAAAAGGGACGUGGUGCUCACGCUGGCAUCAGAUGCUUUACACACCAGAUAUGACUCCGAUGAAGAGGUAUAUGCGACCGCCAAGGCCGUCGAUGCCGGGUUGUUGGAGUACGAUUCAGAUGAUAAUCCCAUUGUUCUGGACAAGAGGAAGAUCGAGCCGAUUUCAGCUCUCGAUCAUAGUUCAAUCGACUACGAGCCGUUUAAUAAGGAUUUUUACGAGGAGAAAGAGUCGAUUUGAGGUAAAUUCCAACCGAACUGAGAAUUUGGUUUCUUUCUUUUUUUCUUUCCAUUCACAUUUGUUUUUUAAAUUUUUGUGUGAAUUUAGUCGAAAUGCGUAGCAAAGUAUUUAAAUUUAAGUGGGAGAGAAUAUUGACCGGUAGAAGUUCUCAAGGAGAGAUUUGAAAUGGAAGACUAGAGUUAACUGGUGUUUUGGUUUCCUUGUUUAGGGAUGAGUGAGGAGGAUGUUUUUUAGUACAAGAAGAGCUUGGCCAUCCGUACGUCGGGGUUUGAUGUACCGAGGCCAGUUAAGACAUUUGAAGAUUGUGGAUUUUCUUCACAACUCAUGGCUGCCAUAAAAAAACAAGACUACCAAAAGCCGACACCAACACAAUGCGUAGCUCUACCCAUAGUUCUUUCCCGGAGAGAUAUAAUUGGUAUUGCGAAAACUGGUUCUGGAAAGACUGCCACUCUUGUCCUUCCAAUGAUUGUCCACAUUAUGGAUCAGCCAGAGCUUCAAAAAGAAGAAGGUCCAAUUGGAGUGAUAUGCGCUCCUACUAGAGAGCUGGCGCACCAAAUAUACUUAAGAGUCCAAAAAAAUUGCAAAAUCACAUGGGAUACGUAUCUCUGCUGUAUAUGGUGGAAUGUCUUAAGCUUGAUCAGUUCAAAGAACUUAAGGCAGGAUGUGAAAUAGUUUUUGCUACUCCUGGGAGAUUGAUCGACAUGCUUAAAAUGAAGGCACUGACAAUGCUUAGGGCAACUUACCUAGUACUUGAUGAGGCUGAUCAGAUGUUUGACCUUGGGUUUGAGCCUCAAAUUAGAUCUAUUGUUGGUCAGAUUCGGCCAGACCGACAGACAUUGCUCUUUUCUGCGACAAUGCUCCGUAAAGUUGAAAAAUUGGCUAGGGAGAUUCUCUCAGAUCCUAUAAGAGUUACAGUGGGUGAGGUGGGAAUGGCCAAUGAGGAUAUCACUCAGGUUGUUCAUGUAAUUCCUUCUGAUGAUGAGAAGCUGCCCUGGCUUUUUGAGAAGUUACCAGGAAUGAUUGAUGAGGGUGAUGUUUUAGUAUUUGCUUCAAAAAAAGCUGCAGUGGAUGAGAUCGAGUCACAGCUUGCUCAGAAAGGUUUUUAAGUCACAACUCUGCAUGGUGACAAGGACCAAGCAUCUCGGAUGGAUAUUUUGCAAAAAUUUAAAUCUGGCAUUUACCAUGUUCUUGUUGCAACUGAUGUUGCUGCUCGUGGUCUUGACAUCAAGUCAAUUAAGUCAGUUGUGAACUUUGAUAUUGCAAAAGACAUGGACAUGCACAUCCAUUGAAUUGGUAGAACAGGUCGGGCUGGUGAUAAGGAUGGCACUGCGUACACUCUUAUUACACAGAAAGAGGCACGUUUUGCUGGUGAGUUGGUUAAUAGCUUGGUUGCUGCUGGUCAGAUUGUCUCCACGGAGCUCAUGGACCUUGCGAUGAAGGUAAUUUUGCAUUACUAUUAACAUUUUUUUUUUGUGGUUUAUAUAGCGAGUUUAUACAUGCAUCCAACUACUUGCCUUUUUGUUUUAGAGAUGGUGGUUAUAACCUUAGUUUGUAAUCCUAUAAUGCAUUUAAGGCGAAUACAAGUUAUUAAUAUGUUCUCUGGUAAAACGUGCUCUUUUUAAUGCAAUAUGGAUUCUGGACAAUUACACCUACUGGUGUUUGUCUCACAAAUAAACUACGUUAUCUUCACUCUACUAUAUAGGUGCAUAGGUUGCUUCUGAUUUAGAGUGCGCUUUCGAGAGAGAUGGAUUUGAUGACCAUUUGGUCUUCAAGGCCUUAUUUUGGAAAGCUUUAGUAUGUCCUUGGAAUUACAGGGAUCUUGAGAUCGUUGACUUCAUAACGUCAAGAUAGUCAAUUUCAGGAAAUGUGCUUAGUUUAGGGAGAGAGUAAUUAGACAGUCUUUAGUAGUCCCAUCUUUACUUCAUACCAUGCUCUGCUUAGAAAAGGGGUUGUUGGGGGUGUAUGUUGGCUUGUUGGGUUGUGGAUUGAAGCAUAGAGAUGACUUGAAGAUGAAGCUCAGUCUGGGGACGUAAUAACUUUUGUGUAUUAUUAAGUACUCGCUUGCAUUCUGGGCUACCAAUACAUCGGUUGAGGCCAACCAAUUUGCAUUUAAGAACUAAGAGAAAAAUCGCAUUUUAAGUACUAAAUCUUAAUUACCACAUGGACCCUUAGUAAAUUGUCACUUAUUUUCCCUUGUGCCAAUAUAUCUCAUAGACAUAAAUGCACAGCUUAUCAUGAUAGGUGGCUGCACCUGCAUUAGUUUUAGAAGUUUUACACUAUGAGAGCCACUCAUGCAUCAUUUCUUCAGUCUUGUGACUUUUAAUUCUUGCCUUGCUGCUUGUAGCUUUGUAUUUUAUAUCCAUCAUAAAUACACUGGUUUCCAUCUCCUACAUGGAUGUGCAGUUAUUUUGGGUGCACCUUGUCUGUGGAACUUUUGUUGCUUUCCCUUACUAUGUUUCUUGUUUGAUAGCUUUAGAUGUUAUGUUAGAUUUCAGAUUUUACAUUCUCUAUUUUAAUGGGAUUUACCUUGUUUAUUAUCAGGAUGUUAGAUUCAUAUCAAAAUGUGAUUCAAGAAAAGGAGUUAUAAACUUUAAUCAUAUUAAAAUUUCAAUUUUCUUAAGGUUCUUUUGCAAUUUCAUAUUAAAUAAGCCUUUUUCUACAAUUCAAAUGAUGAUAUUAUAUGGAUUCUGCAGGUGGAAAGAAAGGUAGAGGGAGGGGCGGCGGUGGUCGAGGUGUGCGUGGGGUGGAUUUUGGUCUGGGUAUUGGAUAUAAUACGGAGUCCAAUAGUUCUUCAUCGAAUACUGUUCCUAGUCGAUCUGUUGCAGUAACUCCUCAGAGGACAGGAAUGAUGUCUCAGUUCAAGACUAAAUUUGUUGCCGCUUCAUCUAACUCUCCAAGUCAAGGUUCAGCUAACAGCUCUAGUGUGCCCAACAGACAGGCAUUACGAGGAUUUGUAUCCGGUGGUUCAAUAGGUGGUGAUGUAUAUAGAACUCAGGCAACCAGUACAAUUACUCCUGCUCCUGCUCCAACAUCAAUGGUAAAUAAAACUGCUACUCCGAACACUGGACAAAAUUCAAGUCAGAAACCCUCCGAAAGGUUAAUUAAACUGAUGCUUGGUUAGAAUUUUUUAUGUCUUUACUUAUUUGAUUGGUGUUGAGCAGUUUCAUUUGUGCCGAUUGCAGUUCUAGAGAUAAACCCAGAGAAAGGCGGAGGCGCUCCGUUUGGGACUGUUAACCGUACAGUUGAACUACACCACUCUCGCAUAAUGAAUUACAAGUUUUACUUUUGUUGUAGGUCAAGUCCUGAUAUUCCUAUAUUAUUGUUGAUCUUUGUCACUUUCUUUGUCGCUCUGUUUAUAAGUUAAAAGAAACAGAAGAUUUUGUAAACUCAGAUCGACUUGUUGCACAAAUAGUGGAUGAUUUAAAACAUAGACUGUUCGUAUCAUUAAAAUACGUUAUGAAGUAGAUUCUACAAAAAGUUGUGCCGUGUAAAAAAAAUUGUGAUGUUUCACAUGUGCUCCGUAUGUUAUUUAUAUUAAUCAUUCUGAAUUACAUCAUAACUCAACGACUUGGUAUAUAAUACAAUAAGGCCUUGUUGGAUGUCAAUGAUUUGAUUGGUUAUGACUGGAUUAGAUUGGCUUAGUUUGGAAAAUUCACUAGAUUCAGUGAAUGUUGAAAGAAAAUAUGGAUUGCUAUUUUGUUCAAGUGAAGAUGGAAGAGAAAAAGAAUAAGACAAGUAUAACAAAUCAAAUAUUGACGGAGCAUGCAUAGGUUUUUAAUUACAACUAUUCGUCAAUUGGUGCUUAUAAUUUUUGGUUUUAAAUGCUAUUAUCUCUUAAAUAAAAUAAUUAUGUUGCUUUAGUCUCCUCAUCGUAUUAUACGUGUCGAAUUCGUGUGAAGUCUGGUGGGACAAGAGAGAGAUAAGGAGGUUGACUUUGAUCAAUUGACCUCCUUUCCAUAGCCAUUUUUCUUUACCUUCAUCCCCUUACACAAAGUCCAUUCUUAAGAUCUCUAGUUCUCUCUCAAUGGCUGCUAAAAGUUCCCGAGAUUCUUCUUCGUCCUCUUACCAGUGUUCCUAUCAUGCCUUCUUGAGUUUCAGAGGCCAGGACACGCGCAGGGGCUUUACUGAUCACCUCUAUAGAGCUUUGGAGCUAGCAGGAAUCCACACCUUUAGAGACGAUGAUGAAAUCAAGAGAGGGGAGAAUAUUGAGUCGGAGUUAGAGAAGGCGAUAAAGGAGUCACAAGUAUCCAUAAUUGUCUUCUCCAAGGACUACGCUUCCUCAAGGUGGUGUUUGAACGAACUUCUGAAGGUCGUGGAACGUAGAAAUACUGAUCGUAGACAUGUGGUUCUGCCAGUUUUCUAUGAUGUGGAUCCAUCCGAUGUCAGGAAGCAGAGUGGUACUUUUGCUGAAGCAUUUGCCAGACACGAGGAGCGAUUCAGUACGGAGGAGAUGGACAAGGUGGAGCUGUGGAGAAGAGCUCUUAGACAUGUUGCAAGUUUGGGAGGCAUGGUUUUAGGAGAUCGGUAAUUUCUAUUCUCAUUAUGUUCUCACGCUAAUUGAAAGUGUCUUUUAAAUUAAGUAAAAUUGUAGAUGGCAGUGAAACUUGAAGUUGUUCGCCUAUAUAUACUGCAACUUUGAUUUAUAUGUUCCUAUCGAUUCAAAUGAAUUACAGGUAUGAGGGGCAGUUCAUCCAAGAUAUUGUUGGAGAGAUUAGAAAUAAAGUGGAUCACGUAGCUUUAGACGUCGCUCCCUUUGCAGUUGGAAUGGAUGCUCGUGUGAGACGCCUAAACAUGUGGUUACAAGAUGGAUCAAAUGAUGUUGGUUUAGCUGUCAUCUGUGGGAUGGGUGGAAUUGGCAAGAGCACCAUCGCGAAAGCCGCUUAUAACCGCAACUUUGAUAGAUUUCAAGGUAGCAGCUUUCUUGCAGAUAUACGAGAAUCUUCAGAACAACCCAAUGGUUUUGCUCUCUUGCAAAGAAAACUUCUUUCAGAUAUCCAAAACGGGAAAGCAAAGAAAGUAUACAAUAUGGAUGAAGGAACAAUCAGGAUCAAACAAGCCGUAGGUUAUAAAAAAGUUCUUAUUGUUCUUGAUGAUGUGAGCAACCGGGAUCAACUCAAUGCAAUUCUUGGAAUGCGAGAGUGGCUUCAUUCAGGAAGUAAAAUUAUCAUAACAACUCGACAUGAACAUUUGUUAAAUGCUCACGAUGUUUUUGAAAAGUUUAUGGUUCAAGAACUGAAUGAGUACGAAUCACUUGAGCUUUUCAGUUGGCAUGCCUUCAGACAAUCCCAUCCGGAAGAAGGUUACAAGGAGCUUUCAAGACAUGUGGUGCAGCACUGUGGAGGGCUUCCUGUAGCUCUUCAAGUUCUGGGAUCUUCUCUAUCUGGAAAAAGUGUAGAAGUAUGGCAAAGUGCAUUGCAGAAGUUAGACGUGAUCCCUAAUGACAAAAUUCAAAAAGUUCUGAGGAUAAGUUUUGAUUCUUUACAGGAUGAUCAUGACAAAAAUUUAUUCCUUCAUAUAGCCAGUUUCUUCACAGGAAAGACGAUGGAUUAUACAAGUACAAUGUUGGACAGCUUAAAGUUUUACACAAGGAUUGGGAUUGAAAAUCUAGUUGACAGAUGCCUAGUGAAAAUUCAAGGCUCGAACAGGUUGUUGGUCAUGCAUCAAUUGGUGAGAAACAUGGCAAUGGAAAUUAUUUGUGAAGAAUCACCUGAUGACCCUGGAAAACGUAGUAGAGUGUUGCAGAAAGAUGCCUCUAAUAUUUUGAGAAAAUUAAGUGUAAGAACUAUGUUUUCAUGUAUAUGUAUUUUUAGUUAUGAUUUGUUGUCCAGUACUAGUUAUAUACUUAUUCAAUGCUCUGAUUUGUUAGCAGGGUACGGAAAAUAUUAAGGGCCUCAUGCUUAACCUUGCUAGCAAAAUAACGUUUGUUGGAUGUCAUAAAAAACGAUGCCAUGAUGAAGAUUAUGAUGGAAAUUGUUCAAGACGACGUCGUCUUGGUUUCUUCUCUUGGAAGCCAGUUAGCUUUCCGUCCACAAACUCAGCUUCUGCAUCAAAUGAGAUAGAUUUCAAAUCUGAGGCGUUUAGAAGGAUGCACAAUCUUGAAAUUCUCAUGCUCAACAACGUCAACGUCAGGGGAAGCUACGAAGAAUUUCCAAAAAGUUUAAUAUGUUUAUCUUGGAGAGGAUUCCACUUAAAAUCAGUACCAGAAAAUUUUUAUUUGGAAAACCUGGUUGUUCUUGACAUGCGAAAUAGUAGCCUACAACAUGUUUGGAAUGGGAUCAGGGUACGUAACUCUCUCUCUCUCUCUCUCUCUCA
rnacentral:lncRNA from 1 species